GAGGGGGGAGGGGGAUGUUUGCCCGGAAACCGGGAAAGGGAAUAACACUCGAAAUGUAAAUAAGAAAUACUCAAGUUAAUAAAAAAAAAUUCUGAACAAAAUAUUAGGAAAUUAAGUUCUGUGAUGUUCAAACAGGGAAAUGCAGUUAAAUUAAUUUUAUCCCAGGAGCUCAAGGUUUAAAAAAAAAAAAAGACUUACCCCCUCCAUUUGCUUGUACUUCCAUUUGCUUACCUAUUCACCUUCCUUGUAUGUGACUAGCAUAUCUGAUCUUGGGACUAGCAUUUCUUCAUUCUAAAAGUUCUGUUCUCUCAUUCUUCAUCUGGGAGGUACCAUGUGACAUGAAUGCGUCUUGUGGUGGAGAGGCUGGGGUUACAGGUAAGUCCAGACUCUGAGAACCAUGGCUCUUUGAUUAUCAGUGAUUGGCUUAGAGAUAUUCAUUGGAUGAAAUUGUGGCCAAAGCUGUCUUCUUGCAGGUCUGGGAACGUGGAGCGCCUUAGAGUUGCUUUAGUACCUUUUUGUUGGUGAAAGGCUGUUGACCUAAAACUCAGAGUGGUGUGAGUUCAGUCUUUUCCCUACACGUGGAGAAAGCUGUGCAGCAUUAAGAAGUGUGAAGCCAAUGAACAGCGGAGGACCCCCAGAAUACGUCCAAGUGCAAUGUGAGCACUGGCUUGCCGGUGUUCUUAUAAAGACUCGGGAGAUAUUCCAAUGCCCUUAUAAGGAGAGUAAUGAGUAAGGACACUUUCUAUUAUUGUCUAGGAACUUCACUAUGCUUAUUUUUGUGUGAGUUGCUUCGUGUUAGCUUCCAUCCAUAUUUAGAGCCACAAUAGUGAAACUUAAGCAUUAAUGGUGAAACGUGAUCCGUUAUUGACACCUCUGCACACUGUUCUCUCGGUUCCAUUUGAAGGUACCAUUUGCACAUUUGUCACUUGCCACUUAAUGACAGACAGAUCUAGCCUGGAAAUUACAUAGUGAGGUUUUUUCCAUUGUAUGAACAUCAGACUGUAAUCUCACAGCUCCGAUACAUCUAAGCAAUAUGAUAAACUCAUGGGGCCACUCUCCUGUAUGUAGUCCAUCUCCACUGAAAGUUUGCUGUGCACACAACUAGAUUUGUUUAUGAAAAGUAAAAAACAUUUAUCAAUAUUAAUGUAUUCUGUCCGUGUUAGUUGAAAACAGUGUUAUUACCUUCCUGGUUAUAGCUAUGUUCCUUAAUAAGCAAUAAGCUAGUCUGUCUGUCUCUGUCUGUCUGUCUGACUGUCUGUCUAUAAACAUAUGCAUAUAUAUAUAUGUAUAUAUCUCACAAAUAGAAGGAUCUCUUUGGGAAGACUGAAAGGAUAGGCAGUGGACUAGGAGAGGGUAGUGGGUAGUGGACAUAGUCAAAGUGCAUGAUAUACUUGAGUAAAAACAUGAAACCACUGCUUAGUACAACAAAUAUAAUCACUCAUUUUAAAAACAAAAACAGCUAAAUAGAAAAUGCUUUUAUUGGCUACUUAAAAUUUCUUUGCUAAUUUCUGCUGCAUAACAUUUAAAUAUUUUUUUCUGUGGGCAGCAGUUUUCCUGUUCAUAUGUGAUAUUUAAUCUGUUACAUUUCUUACCAGUAUUUUUAGGGUAUAAUAAUUGCAUUUUUAAUAUUUUGUUUAUACCCAGUCUUUUGGUCUGCAAAGUAAGCACAAAGGAGAAUCACAUAGUUUAAUUUAUAUGAAAUUCUAGAACAGACUAAUAAUCUAUAUUGAUAGAAAACAAAAUUGUCAUUGUCUAAACUAAAAACAAUGCAGUAAAAUUAGGAGAUCAAAAUAUUCUGUGUCUCCAUUAGGUGUUUAUUGCAUAUAAAUUUUACCUUGACUCAGCUGAUACAAAUGGGAAGAAUUUUUGUGCUGUAUUUUAUACAGGUAAUAGUUCCUCUGUACUUCAAUCUAUUGACCUAUUGAUUUGUAUACUUUGACUUCUUUAGAAGGAAUUGUUGUACUGUUCAAUUCCUUUUAAGUUUUCUUUUUCACACGUCCGUGUAUAUUUUCUACAUUCCACUUGAUGCCAUUCCAGUCACGUUUGCCUAUGCAAAACAAUACAUAUUUUGUAAGGUAAGUAUUACUGUCACACUUUUUUCAGAUCAUGACAAGGAAAAUGAAGUCUGUAAUUUCCAAAUCAUACCCAUGGUGAGUGUUCACAUCCUGAUUGCCCAGCACGCAAUCUCAACCUUUCAGUGUCGUCACUGCAAAGUGUCUGAGAAACAGAGUAGCUUGUAAUUACUCAAUUUUAUUGUCUUCUAUCAUUUCUUUUAUUUUUGAAAUGUUUUACAUCACUUCCUAUUGAAAAUUAGUACAAUAAAAUUUAACACUUUCUUAUAGGAGUCUGUCUAGUAUAAACUAGUAUACAUACAUUUCAUAGUGAAAAUGUCCUUCACUAAAGAAUGGAUGAGUGAGUGGAGGACAGAAAUGAGGAGGGCGAGAGUCACAAUCAUAUUGUCUUUACUGGAAGUUACUCUUGAGGCCAAAUUUUGGAGUGAGAUGAGCAUUCUGGCUCAUCUCAUGUGGAGAAGCCCUAUGAAGGCAGAGCUGACUGUCCUGAAGUUGGGCUAAUAGUGGUUUCUUUUACCACUUUUAUUUGUGGCUCAUUCCUCUGGGUUUUCAAAGCUCCAUCAUACAUCUUCCUAAGAGUUUUAUGUAACAAACUGUAUCUUUCCAAGCCCUGGUGCUGAAUCUUUCUGUUUUAUUCCUUUUGUGUCCUUGCAGUGCCGGAUGACAGACACAAUGUCAAGGGUCAGGCCUGGGGGUACACUGGAGCUGGUGAGCUUUAGGACAUGGUCUGUGAUCUCUAUUCAAGAUGAGAAUUGUAUGGAGGCCCUUCAUUCUGAGUGCUUUGCCAAGAAAUAUUGAUAAUUAUUUUGGUGACUGGGACCAGUGGAAACCUUCUUCUUGACAUUCUUCUAAGUGACAGUCAGGAGAUUCAACUUUCAAGAGUGUUUUUCUUCCCUCUGGAACUCAGUAGAGAUCUUUUUGAAUGUGGAAAUAUGGCCAAUAACAGAUACUACACUCACAUACAUAUUUACACAUGGUCUUAGUCAAUUUGCUGUUGUAGAAGAAUGAAUGAAUGAUGUGAAUGAAUGAUUUAUAAAGAAAUGGGGUUUCUUGGACACAGGUCCAAAAGCAAGAACUAUGUGCCUGGUACCGAAUCAAAUAUGGUGGGUGGCACCACAAAAUGGAGAAUGUCUGAAAGCCUUAAGUGGCUGCAUGAAGGGGAGGACACAGUGGAAGAGAUGCUUUAUAACAAUUUGAGAAAUAGUUGCCUCCUACAAGAAGUAUAGAGAGCUAAUAUCUCUUAAAGGCCCAUCUCAUUGCUAUUAUGGUGUUCAAACUUCAGAAUGAGUUUUAGCUUGGACAAACUAUAUCUAAACCAUAGUACAUACACACACACACACACACACACACACACACACACACAUGCCUGCACCCCUGCAUGCCCGCACAGUAUUCCUGAGGUGGUUUGUGAACGUUUUCUCAACCUUGAAAUCUAGGCAUCAGCCCCUAGAUACAUUCAACCAGCAAUGUGCCUGCUUCUCCAGUGAGUUUUUCUCAUCACGGUAUGGCCAUUGGCCUCAGAGGCUUCCUGGCUAGUCUCCAGAACACAAAGAUGUAUAGUAACGUCUGCCAUAUACUCACUUCAAUGUGUACUUCUCAGCAAUGCCCUAAAUGGAUAUCACAUUAUAUGCUUCCACCCACAUAAAUGCAAUAACAGCAGUUUCCGCUAAGGGUAUAGACUUCCCAGCUCUGUUUCUAAGAAACCCACUGUGGGAAGGUCAGCAGACAAUAGCCACUGGUCUUUCAUUCACAUCUGAAGUACCAAAGCUUUGCUCUCCUGGGCUCCUCCUGCCAACCUCUGGACCCAGGAAAAACAUUUCAACUGGCUUUACCUUUACUCACCGGAGGCCUCCCUCAGGAAGUGUGUUGUCUGCUAGUCAACUCCCCACUGGCCCAGCUGAGCCUGCCUUAGGGAAGCACUUUUCUUUGAGGUAAGCUCAUGGACAGUUCCUCCUAUCUGCCUGUUGUCCUUGUAAAGGUAUCUGGGAAACAUCAUAGCUUGGUGGCUUUUUGUGUUCACUUUCUGACCUUCAUCUUUUAUGAGGGUCACCUAUAGCGAAUCUCCAGUGACUCUAAAUACUUUCUUGGUGUAUGAUUUACAGUGAAUUUAAAUUGACAAAGUAGCUUUUUUUUUUCUUUUUGUAAGUAUGGGGUAACAUAGAUAUCCUCCUUGAAGACCUGAAGUUGGGAGGGAGACUAGCUGGGACAAAUAAGGGGGUCGGGAGAUUGAGGGGUUGAGGGACAGUAGAAUAGUGGUAGUGUAGGAUUAGUGUAGCCACAAGUAAUUAUAUACCAGUUAAGUAUCAAUUAAAUGUCUAAAAAUGACAACUUUAUAUAACAAAAAAUCCAACCUGAUGUAAAAAAAUAAGAAAUGAAAAUGAAGAACCAGAAAAAACCAAAACAAGCAAGCAAACAAACAAACACCAGUAUAAGGUGGCAGUCAUGGCAAAGGAGAAGAGUGAUUUCAGCUCAUCCUCCAUGAAGGAGGAACAUGCACUAAAUGAGCAGGAGAUGUGGAAUGGCCUUUCCUGCAGCCACGUUCCCUUUGUUUCUCAAAAUCUUCGUUUCUAUUCACAAGUGACUUGGUGGCGUUUUCAGUUCAGACCAGUCAUCAUUCUAAAUUUACACUCGUGCUUGGACAUUAGAGAUUCCCAUUAACGCUGUGAUGACAACACGGAAGCACGGUGAGAGGAAACUGCUUGGGUGUCACAGGACUGUGUAGGGAUACAUGCCCACUGCAAAUUCCCCUCUUUUUCUACAAGCUGUUUGUUGUGUUGAUGUGCCAUGUCUCUGGUCAGUUAUCUUACGCAAUACCUAGGUAAAGAAAUGAGGUGUUUUGUUUUGUUUUGUUGCAUUUUGUUUUGUCUAGUGGGAAGAAUGUUUCCCCUAUAAAAUGGGCUAAAUGAUUAAAAUUUCAGGUCUUAUUUAAAUAGCCAUCUUGUGAGAUCUCAUGGGCCAACCUUCCUUGUCAUUUCUAGCAUAAUCUCACAGCAACUUCCGGGCUCUCUGGCUCUUACAAUUUUCUGUCCACACUUCUGUGACAUUCUGGAGCUUCAGCUGUAAUAGUUAUGGUAGCCAUAUCCACUGGAGCUGCGAUGCCCCUUAUCAGUUGAUUUCUGCAUUAUGAUCAGCUGUUGUUUUCUGUAGUGGUCUCAGCCUUAGAACGAAGUUUAUUUGAUAUGGGUUGAGUACUACACUUAACCAUGAGUAUAAGGAUGGCUUUAGAAUAUAGUUAGGAUUAUGCUUAUCUACUAAAGUGGCAGUAUCAGCUUCAGUAACUAGGAACUCACUAGGCCCAGUUAGUUGGACAGCUUUCUAGUACCGGGCAUGGUUUCUUCCAUGUUGAAAGGGCCUGAAGUCCAAUUAGACAGCUGUUGGUUACCACAACAACAGUCACACCAACCACUAUUGUACCUUUAGGUAUAUCUUGCCACAGCUACCACUGUUGGAAAGAAGAAGUUUCAUGUGGUCCUAUCCCUAUAGAAAGAACCAUGGGUAAUGACUGUCAGAUGAAGGAAAAUUAGUCUCUACAGGGGAUAGCCUUCUAACUGCUUAUCCAAUACAAAAUGGUCAGCCCUGAUAUCAUUUGCACACAAACAACAUUAAAUAUUAUGUAUGCAUAUGUAGAUAUAUACACAUAUAAUACACAUACACAUACACUCACACACACAUAUUGAGAGCAAGCAAAGGAACAUGGGAAGAAUUAGAAGAAAGGAAUAGGAAAGUACAGCAAUGAUUUGGUUAAAAUUUUAAAAAUAAUAGAAAUGAAUCAUUAAAAAAAUCAAUUUUCAAUGUGUCAACUUUCUAGGGAUUUUCAGGGAGUGUAUUGAUCCCCAUGUAAUUAUUGAGUGAUUUUCCAGUGUAAGGUCAAAUCUUUUUACUUCAGUAGCCCAUAAUUCAAUUGGAAAGCCUUGCUUGGAUCAUGCAAAUAAGAGAACUAUCAUUUUUAAUAGCUGACUUCUGAAGAUGGACUGGACAUAAUUACCAAAAACAAAUAUCAUGUUAUAGGUAAUGUUUAGGAUAAUGUGUGCACACCUAAAAUUGAAACCUCACAACCCCUGUGAAGAAUUCAUACAGUUUGAGGAGAAACUAAUAAUAAUUAUUAAGUUGCUCAAAUCAGAGUUAAUGAAUUAGCAGACAAAGCAAAUAAAAACCAAUAAUUAACUCUUUAUGUUGUUUCUGGUAUUAUUUAUUUUAUCAAUUUCAACUGUCUUCAUCAGCUAGCUAGAGUUUAAUGCAUUUUGUAGCUAAGGGAUAUUUAUUUUUUCUUUAUUGUAUUGCUUUUAUCUUUCAUUCUUUCUAUUUAUCAGUGUUAGGAUUUCAAUGUUUCCCCAAGUUUCAUGUGUUGGAGAUUUUACUACCAAUGCAACGGUAUGGAGUAUUGGGCCUAGUAAGAGUUGGCUGAGUCAUUAGGGCAAGAUAAAUUAACAAAUAGAUCAAUGAAUGGAUUAGCCACUGUCUCAGAAGCAAAUUAAUUACGCAGGAGUUUAUUUAUAAUAAAAGCAAAUUGGGAAUAAGAUUAGAUGAAUGAAGAUACUAGGUGUCAUAGAUAUUUUGUUGAUGUUUGGAAUUUUGUUUUUCAACUUGAAACAAACCUAGGCAUACCUGGGAAAAGGGAUCUCUGUUAAGGAAUUGCUUCUAUCAGAUUUGUUGUGGACAUGUCCGUGGGGGCAUUUUCUUGGUAGAUAUAGGAGGGCCCAGCACACUGUGAGCAGUAUCAUUUCUGAGAGGUGGGACUGACUGUGCUGUAUGCCAAAAGUAGAUGAACAGGUCAGAGAGUGACCAGUAAGCAUUGUCCCUCCCUAUCUCAGUUCCUGCCUCCACCUUCCUGCCUUGAGUUCCUGCCAAGACUUCCUUUAAUGAUGGACCAUAACCUGAAGCUCAAAACCCAAUGACCUAAGUUCCUUGCAGCAGACUCCACUUCCUAAUAGUUUAAUCACCUCCCAGUAGUUCUACGGGCUGGUGACAAAAUCUUUAACGCAUGGUCAUUUGGGGAACACUCUAGCUCCAAAGUACUAUGAGUAAUCUGUGACAGAAUCAUUAUGAUCACUUAGAAAGGAAGAAUGGCUUUGGGAGAUAAACUGUUUCUAAGUAGACCUGGAAAAGGGCCUUCAGAGUACCUUACUUUGCUUUCUCGGCCUUCUGCAGGAUGGGUGCAGGGACUUUGUCUUUUCCUGUUGGGCUACAGUAUAGAAUGGCCUGAUACUGGGUUGGACUUAAUACUCUGCGCCUCUGCAAGUGAACCUUACUGGGUUACAGUAGUUUAUAAUUAUUUGUUAUGGUUUCCCUGCUUCUUUGAUGUUCAAAUAGCCUUAGUACCCCUGCUUGGAGAGAACUGUCCAGCUCUUUAUUUUAAAUUUAUCAAACAUUUUAGGAUUCAAACCUGAAUUCCAACCAUGUGGUGGGAAUUCUUAAAAACUGACCAUCCAUACUCAUUGGGACUUUUAACGUGUAUACCAUGCUAGGUCCCAUUUAGUAGUUGAAAUGGAGUCAUUCUAUGUAAUGCGUUGUUGGCCUAGGUCUGAAUUUUCUCGCAAAAGUAUUGAGGCCUUUGAGGAAACAAAAGUGCUGAUUUCCCCCAAUCCAGUCAUCGGAAAUGGACUUGUGCCAACACAUUCUCUCUGGUCAUCGGAAGUGGACUUGUGCCAACACAAUCUCUCAGGCUAGUCCUGGCUCAAGCCGUAGCUUUACUCUUUAGAAAGCAAUCUCUGGAAUCUAACAGCCUCACAUUUAUCACUGAGACACCACCCCUCCCCCUCCCAUUUGGUUUUCCUUCCUUGGCUUGGUAAAGAACACAUAGUUACUGAAAACAGUGCAGAAAAAAAAAAUUAAACAAUGAAAAUUAGAACAAAGGAGCAUGGAAAAACACAUUUGUAAGAUAUGGAGUUUGAGUUUAUACUUAGAAUAAUUUGGUGUGCAAUGGAAUUAAACACAUUUGUUUAAGUAUAAACCUUAGCCAGAGCUUAUAAGUAAACCCAAUGAACCAGAAUUGCUUUUUAAUGAGAAAUUUAAAAUGCCAGUUUGGAUCUGUGGUUCAUGCACACAUGAGCGUGGGGGCGUGUGCACGUGAGCGCGCGCGCGCACGUACACACACACACACACACUCACACACGCACACAUACACACACACACACACACCAUAUUUCUCCUCUAAACUGAAACAACAUCUAUUUUUUACCUUUCUUUUUUCUUUUUUUUAAAUACUAUCUCCUUGACCUUCUGAAUAAUGUAGAAGGUUGUUAAAUUAUAAUAUUAAAGGAAAAUGCCUUAACGUUGUAUAGGAUUGAAGAGCCUACUCACUCUCUCAGAGAGGAAAUCCAUAUUUCAUUACAAGUAGAACAAGAAAGCAGGGAGUACACGGACAGUUUUCAGACUCUUUAAUACGCACUGGGGGCCAGAUGAGGAGUUUCCUGUCUAAUGCCUUAAUUUAGACUUUAAUAGAUUCCUUCAUUUGUGUCUUAGAAUGAGGAAAUCCAGGGAGUCUAGUCAACUGGUCAAACUGAUAAUUGGGUUAGCAUUGGAGGUUGUACUUCAACAUGGAUGCAUGUGAGUCUGUUACACACGAGCCUAGGAAAUGGGGAGAAAGGAGCCAUCUUCACUGGAACAGAUGUCAGCUUCCACAUAGGUAUGGCCUUUGUCACCACAGCAUGGUUGCUGACUAAGGCAGUAUAGCCUUCUCUGUCCUUAUAAAGCCUCGUGGAGAGAAACAUAUCUGUGGAAGGUGGGCCACCAGAAGUUCAGUGCAGUGACUAAGUUAAGGUCAUGUCGUGACCUUCAGAACUCCGAUCUGAAACAACAGGAACUUCCUCUCCAGCUGGGUGCAGGAUUCAAGUGUGAGAUCACACUUCACAUGGUUCCUCCUGAAGGCAGGGAGGGAAGCUGCCUCUUUCAGGAUUGUCUUCAUACCUGAGUCUUCACAUCUUUCAUUUCUCUAUACGUGUUUCUGUGUCCGAAUCUUCUCUGUGCAGAAGGGCAAUGGUCCUUUGGAUUUGGGACAUUUCUGCAAUCUCAUUUUAGCUCAACUACUCUAAAAACAAACCCUUACCAUAGGUCUUAGCUAGGACCUAAACAUUUUGAGGGGGAACAGUGUGGUCCCAAAUCUCCAGACAUCUGUAGUGAAUUAGAUUAUUGAUUAUUUUUCCAUACUGGACCACAUACUAUACCAAGAAUUGAGAAGUCAAAGCAGGCAGUUUUUUUUUUUAAUCUAGCAAGAAAGUCAGACAUUAAAUAAUUACAGUAAAAUGUGCUAAGUUGUUUAUUUUCCCCCAAAAUGGAGGAAAAGGUAAAAAAAAAAAAUGAGGCUACUUAAGCAGAGAGGUACCUAGUGUCAGAGGAUUCAUUUUAUAUCCUAGUUUUGUGGCUCAGUGCUCUUGGGCAGAACAGUAUGAUGAUAAGAACAUGUGGUCCAGGCUGAACGUGAAGCACAGAAAAUGGGGCACAGGAAGAGGCCAACACGAGAUAUAACCAUCAGACGCAUUCCACCAGUGACCUAAUUCUUCCGGCUAGCCCCGCCCCCUUCCUUUCACCACUUCCCAUAAUACAGUGUUAUUUUGAAUCUAUCAAGGGACAAAUCUAUUCAUUAGGUCAUAGAACUUCUGAUCUAGUCUCUGGAGAGCACCUUCACACACAUACCCAGAGGUGUAUUUACUAACUCCUUAAAUGGUUUUUAACCCACUCAAGCUAAGAGAUAAACAUCAUUGCCUCAGGCACAUACACACACACACACACACACACACACACACACACACACACACACACACAUGCACAUACCAGGUUAACUGUCAUUUGCAAAUGUAUGGUAUUUAACAAAGGACGAUGAUUCAAACAGAAGUUUUUCCCAUGAGAAAUGAUGGCGGAAAGACAUGCAAGUGGGGCUCCUGGGGUUAAUAUAUAAUUCAAGUUGGUUGACAUGGCUGGUAUAUCCUUUCAUGGAGGGUCUCUGCUGUCUCUUUCAAAGCAUCAUUAAUUUUGUUUUCUUGUAUUAUUUUUGCUCAAAAAUAAAAAUAACCUUUCGAUGACCAACACAAAGUGACUUUGAACUCAUCUCUUCUUGUAUUCCUGAUGACUCUCACUUUAUAUAUAAUUCUAGGACUUCUACUUAAAGCAAGUCAGAGGGUCUGAAUUGCUUCAGUUUAAUCCCAGUAUCUCAGAGCAAUACAAGUAUGUGUGUGUAUUGACAAGCUUGUUGGUACAUUGUUACAUUUAGCUCAAGGGUACUAUGGAUGGCUCUAUGACAUCAUAGACUGAACCCCUUAGAAAAAAGUGUGGAAAUAUAUUUUCUCUGGAACUUCCAGUCUAGGAUUAGCAUCGAUCUUCUAAGAUAUGUUGCAGUCUUUUCAAAUGAUCAUACUUUUUGUUGCUUUGUCUUUUGACUGUCAGGAAGCUUAAAGGUAUGUUAAUGGCUAUCCCAUUUCAUCUUUGCUGCUAGGAGUCUACCUAGCAACACAUUGUCCUCACCUCACUAACGCCGUAGUUUGGCUUUCUACUGCUGUGACAAACACCAUGACCAGAAGGUCCUUGGGGAGGAAAGGGUUUAUUUCAUCUCACAGUUUAUAGUCCAUUAUGAAGGAAAUCAGCAUAGGGACUCAAGUCAGGAACCUCAGGCAGGCACUGGAGCAGAGAACGCGAAAAAACAUUGUUUAUUAGGUUACUCAGCCUACUUUCUUUUCCUGUGCAGGACAUCAGGACCAGAGCUGGCUCUACUCACUUCCUAUGUCAAUCAUUUAUCGAGCAAAUACUCUACAGACUUGCCUGUGGGCAAUCUGAUGGAAGCAAUUUUGCAAUUGAGCUUUCCUCUUCCCAGAUGAGGCUAUGCCAAGCUGACAAAACGGCAAGCAAGACAACAAUCUUACCUUUAUUAUACAAUCACCUUUACUACAGCACUACUGCAUAGUAUUAUGUAGAAUAUUGGAUUAUACUUCCUAUCAGAAAUAUUGUAAGAUUAUUAUAUGGAUUAGAGUGUGUCACUUUUUAUUGUAUUGUAAAUAUUGUAUUGUAUUAUAAUAAAUACUGCUGUUUAUUAUCUAUUAUUUUCUUUACUCUCCAUACAAUGCCCCAGUAUUUAUUGAGCGAGGUACUUACUAUCACAGCUUUUGGUCAGGGAAGCUUGUACCAUCUUUAGCAUUCAGUGUGUCUAGAGAUGACAUCUCUGUCAUGAUGUUCCACAAGCCACACCCAAUAUGGUGAGCAUCUGGAGGUUCUUGACUUGGGGCUCAUUUGAGGACAGUUAUGUGGCCCAGCUUAGACCACAGAGACAAGUAGGGAAGUUUCUUUGGACAGCGAGUCAGACGUUCCCUAUAUUCGAAGAAGAAACCAUUGGAUGUUGGAGGGAAAUUGUGCACUGAGAAAAGGUUCACCAUGGAAUAUAGACAAAACAGGUUGGAAGCUAUUUAUUGAUAAAAUAUAAAGUCUAGCUGAUCUCCAGGCUUCUCCUUUCCUGAGCCAAACAAUUUAAGCCAGUCAGAAUUUGUAUUAUUUAUUAUUAUUCUCAUUUCAAUGAACUACCUGAAAUAUUUUUGGGAGCAACAUAGAAUUCAAAUCAAAGCCGAGAAAGUGAUAGCAAAUUCGUAAUAACUCAUAAUUGGAGUCUACUCUAUUCCACCUUGAUUUCUAUGACCUGUGUCUAGUGCUGUAUUCCAUUCACAAUGGUCAACACAAACAUCCCUCUCUAAUGAAGGCAAUUUGAAGUGGCUGACUCAAUUAGCCAAUCGGUUACUGCUUUCUUUGUACUUUUGUCAUUCCCCUCCAUUUUUACAGCCAGAACAGAGUUGUGUUGAUGGUUGAUGCCUCGUUGGGUAACGUAUAUUCCUUGAGUGCAGACACUAGGCUUAGUCAUCUUUCCUUCCCAGUAUAGUUUCUGCUACCUAGCAGCUAUCAGUCUGACCGUGGAGCUCACUGUUAUUUGAAGGGAGCAACUGAAAACUGAGAAGCAAGAUCGCAUUGGGUUCUUUGGUGACAAAAGUUUGAUGAGAGAGAGAGAGAGAGAGAGAGAGAGAGAGAGAGAGAGAGAGAGAGAGAGAGAUUGAUUUUGUUUUUGUGGAAAAACCAGAAAAUCUGAUGUGUUUUUGAGCUUGAAUACUGGAAGUAGAAUGGCCCUUGGGCUGGCCUUCUCAUUUCCUAAGCAAAAAAACUGAAACCCAGAGAGAUUAGGUGUCUUGACCAAAGCCACAUAGAUUAAACUUAUAACCAGGAAGGGAAAUUAGGAAGGAAACUCCCACCCCCACUCGCACCCCUUCCCUACUCACCUCUGCUGCUCUCAUUCUCCUGUGCCCCUGCCCCUUGGCAUGACCCCAGUAUUAGAGUACUUCUCUGAAUUCUUACUUUUCUGUUGUAAGAAUGGAAUGGUUCUCACUGGACUUUGGCUAGAAGCACAUAAUAUAAGCACUUGACAGCACUCUGAGCACCACUAAAAUAGGAUAUUUCAUUUUUGGCUACUUUUCAAGUCUGGGCACUAUGCAGGAAAAGUCACCCACUUCCUUCGGUGACAGGAAAACAUUAUAGGAGCCUGCACUCUGGCACGUCUACAAAGAGUAAAAUUUUAGGCAUUAUAGAGAGCAUCUUUUUCCCAUGUGUUGUAGCAAGCAUUGUUUCAUUUUAAUAAUCUGCGACAAGAUGUCUAGCUAACAAGAAACACCUGGUAAGUACAUCAGCCAUGUAGAAAUGCGGUUAGCACUUGAAGACUCUCCUGAAACACUCAGCUACCUACCUUUUCAAUUUAUUUGUUUAUUUUCAAAUUUUGUACAUGCCUAUGUUGCAUAUUGAGCCCAUUUGCCCCACCCCCACCCUUUCUAUUAUCGUCUUUGUCCUCCUAGAUGGUUUUACUUCUUGUUUUGUACCAUGUGUACAUACUUGCUUGUAUGUAUCUAUAUGAAAUUUAGGAACCACAAAUGAGAUAAAACAUACAUUUGUCCUCGUGAGGCUGACUUAACUCACUUAAUAUAAUUAUGUCCAUUUAUCUUAAUGUAAGAUCCGAGACUGUUAGAUGGAAAAAGUUGGAAAACAUUUUAAGAUUUAGGCAGAAGCUCUCCUCUCUUGUGUCGAUGGAAGAGUGAUACCCUAGUCUCAGUUGGUAUUACUGGGUGGCACAUGGAGGCUUUUCUAGGCAUAAAAAUUCACAGAAAGAAAUGGUUGUUUGCUUCAGUAAGCUUAGUUUAUGCAUAAUAAAUUUAUAGACAUAUAGACAGACAACACUGUAAACCAGGUUUGGUUUUUAAUCCCAGUACUUUGGAAGUUAAGGAAGAGAAACACGAACUGGAGACCUGGAGACCUACCUGGGCUAACAGAGAGAUCUGUCUCAAAGAACAUACGCAAACACACACACACACACACACACACACACACACACACACACACACAAACACACAUACACAUGCACACACAUGCACACACACAAACACACACACACAAACACAGACAUACACAUGAACACACAUGUACACACACACACACACACACACAGAGAGAGAGAGAGAGAGAGAGAGAGAGAGAGAGAGAGAGAGAGAGAGAGCGGCUAGAAGGCAGAUCGAUUUGGACUUUGUCAGGUAUAUGAAUUAAAUGAAAAAACAGAAAACUAGCUAUGUUUUCUUCUUUCAUAUUGGGCUAGUGUUAAAAUAAUAAUUAUUUAAGGUAGUUAAGCAAGUCCUAUUUAUUAUCAAACUAUCGUAUGUUAGGUAUAGUACUCAGCACUGGGGACAAAGGAGAACUACAGAGCUGUGGUCGUUGAAGAAAAGGAGAUAUGCUAUGUACAUAACAGGAUAGAUGACGGUAAGUCCCAGGCCUACAGGCUAAUGUACUAUGGUCUCAUUACAACCAGGGCUUAGCUGAAAUAUCAGCGUGCACCUCUAGUCUAGUUUUUUUUUUUCCAUCUUUAUUAAAUUGGGUAUUUCUUAUUUAAAUUUCAAAUGUUAUUCCCUUUCCCCGUUUCCAGGUCAACAUCCCCCUAACCACCCCCCUCUCCUUCUAUAUGGGUGUUCACCCUCCCCAUCCUCCCCCAUCACCGACCUCCCCACAAGAAUCCCGUUCACUGGGGGUCCAGCCUUGGCAGGACCAAGGGCUUCCUCUUCCGCUGGUGCCUUUAGUAGGCUAUUCAUUGCUACGUGUGCAGUUGGAGCCCAGGGUCAGUCCAUGUAUAGUCUUUGGGUAGUGGCUUAGUCCCUGGAAGCGCUGGUUGGUUGGCAUUGUUGUACAUAUGGGGUCUCGAGCGGUUCAAGCUCUUUCAGUCCUUUCUCUGAUGCCUUCAACAGGGGUCCCGUUCUUAGUUCAGUGGUUUGCUGCUGGCAUUCGUCUAUGUAUUUGCUGUAUUCUGGUUGUGUCUCUCAGGAGAGAUCUAUAUCCGGUUUCUGUCAGCCUGCACUUCUUUGCUUCAUCCAUCUUAUCUAGUUUGGUGGCUGUAUAUGUAUGGGCCACAUGUGGGGCAGGCUCUGAAUGGGUGUUCCUUCUGUGUCUGUUCUAAACUUUGCCUCCCUAUUCCCUGCCAAGGGUAUUCUUGUUCCCCUUUUAAAGGAGUGAAACAUUCAUCCUUCCUGAGUUUCAUGUGUUCUGUGCAUCUAGGGUAAUUUGAGCAUUUGGGCUAAUAGCCACUUAUCAAUGAGUGCAUACCAUGUGUAUUUUUCUGUGAGUGGGUUAGCUCACUCAGGAUGAUAUUUUCCAGUUCCAUCCAUUUGUGUAUGAAUUUCAGAAAGUCAUUGUUUUUGAUAGCUGAGUAAUAUUCCAUUGUGUAGAUGUACCACAUUUUCUGUAUCCACUCCUCUGUUGAAGGGCAUCUGGGUUCUUUCCAGCUUCUGGCUAUCAUAAAUAAAUCUGCUAUGAACAUAAUGGAGCAUGUAGCUUUUUUGUAUGUUGGAGCAUCUUCUGGGUAUAUGCCCAAGAGAGGUAUAGCUAGGUCCUCAAGUAGUUCAAUGUCCAAUUUUCUGAGGAACCUCCAGACUGAUUUCCAGAAUGGUUGUACCAGUCUGCAAUUCUACCAACAAUGGAGUGUUCCUCUUUCUCCACAUCCUUGCCAGCAUCUACUGUAGCUGGAGUUUUUGAUCUUAGCCAUUCUCACUGGGAUGAGGUGGAAUCUCACGGUUGUUUUGAUUUGCAUUUCCCUUAUGACUAAAGAUGUUGAACAUUUCUUUAGGUGCUUCUCAGUUAUUCAAUAUUCCUCAGCUGUGAAUUCUUUGUUUAGCUCUCAACCCCAUUUUUUUCUUUUUUUUCGGAGCUGGGAACCAAACCCAUCAAAACCAUUUUUUUAACAGGGUUAUUUGUCUCCCUACAGUCUAACUUCUUGAGUUCUUUGUAUAUUUUGGAUAAAGGCCCUCUAUCAGUUGCAGGAUUGGUAAAGAUCUUUCCCCAAUCUGCUGGUUGUCGUUUUGUCCUAACAACAGUGUCCUUUGCCUUACAGAAGCUUUGCAGUUUUAUGAGGUCCCAUUUGUCGAUUCUUGAUCUUAGAGCAUAAGCCAUUGGUGUUUUGUUCAGGAAAUUUUCUCCAGUGCCCAUGUGUUUGAGAUGCUUCCCCACUUUUUCUUCUAUUAGUUUGAGUGUAUCUAGUUUGAUGUGGAGGUCCUUGAUCCACUUGGACUUAAGCUUUGUACAGGGUGAUAAGAAUGGAUCUAUCUGCAUUCUUCUACAUGCUGAUCUCCAGUUGAACCAGCACCACUUGCUGAAAAUGCUAUCUUUUUUCUAUUGGAUGGUUUUGACUCCUUUGUCAAAAAUCAAGUGACCAUAGGUGUGUGGGUUCAUUUCUGAGUCUUCAAUUCUAUUCCACUGGUCUAUCUGCCCGUCUCUGUACCAGUACCAUAUAGUUUUUAUCACUAUUGCUCUGUAAUACUGCUUGGGUUCCGGGGUAGAGAUUCCCCCGGAAGUCCUUUUAUUGUUGAGGAUAGUUUUAGCUAUCCUGUAUUUUUUGUAAUUCCAGAUGAAUUUGCAAGUUGUUCUAUCUCACUGGAUGAAGAAUUGGAUUGGAAUUUUGAUGGGGAUUGCAUUGAAUCUGUAGAUUGCUUUUGGUAAAAUGGCCAUUUUUACUAUAUUAAUCCUGCCUAUCCAUGAGCAUGGGAGAUCUUUCCAUCUUCUGAGAUCUUCUUCAAUUUUUUUCUUCAGAGGCUUGAAAUUCUUAUCAUAUAGAUCUUUCACUUGCUUGGUUAAAGUCACACCGAGGUAUUUUAUAUUAUUUGGGUCUAUUAUGAAGGGUGUCGUUUCCCUAAUUUCUUUCUCGGCUUAUUUCUCUUUUGUGUAGAAGAAGGCUAAUGAUUUAUUUGAGUUAAUUUUAUACCCCGCCGCUUUGCUGAAGGUGUUUAUCAGGUUUAGUAGUUCUCUGGUGGAACUUUUGGGAUCACUUAAAUAUACUAUCAUAUCAUCUGCAAAUAGUGGUAGUUUGACAUCUUCCUUUCCAAUCUGUAUCCCUUUGAUCUCCUUUUGUUGUCUGACUGCUCUGACUAGGACUUCAAGAAUUUAUUGAAUAAGUAGGGAGAGAGUGGGCAGCCUUGUCUAGUCCCUGAUUUUAGUGGGAUUGCUUCAAGUUUCUCUCCAUUCAGUUUAAUGUUAGCUACUGGUUUGCUGUAUAUGGCUUUUACUAUAUUUAGGUAUGGGCCUUGAAUUCCUGUUCUUUCUAGGACUUUUAUCAUGAAGGGGUGCUGAAUUUUGUCAAAUGCUUUCUCAGCAUCUAAUGAAAUGAUCAUGUGGUUUUUAUCUUUCAGUUUAUUUAUAUAGUGGAUUAUGUUGAUGGUUUUCUGUAUAUUAAACCAUCCCUGCAUACCUGGAAUGAAACCUACUUGUUCAUGAUGGAUGAUUGUUUUGAUGUGUUCUUCAUUUGCAAGACUUUUAUUGAGUAUUUUUGUGUCGAUAUUCAUAAGAGAAAUUGAUCUGAAAUUCUCUUUCUUUGUUGGGUCUUUGUGUGGUUUAGGUAUAAGAGUAAUUGUGGCUUCAUAGAAGGAAUUCGGUAGUGCUCCAUCUGUUUCAAUUUUGUGGAAUAGUUUGGAUAGUAUUGGUAUGAGGUCUUCUAUGAAGGUCUGAUAGAAUUCUGCACUGAACCGAUCUGGACCUGGGCUCUUUUUGGUUGGGCGACGUUUAAUGACUGCUUUUAUUUCUUUAGGAGUUAUGGGGUUGUUUAAAUGGUUUAUCUGUUCCUGAUUUAACUUCAGUACCUGGUAUCUGUCUAGGAAAUUGUCCAUUUCCUGCAGAUUUUCAAGUUUUGUUGAAUAUAGGUUUUUGUAGUAGUAUCUGAUGAUUUUUUAAAUUUCGUCUGAUUCUGUUGUCAUGUCUCCCUUUCAUUUCUGAUUUUGUUAAUUUGGACACAUUCUCUGUGUCCAUUUUCUGUGUCCUCUGAUUUAUCUAGCUAAGAGUUUAUUUCACUUGUUGAUUUUCUCAAAGAACCAGCUUUUGGUUCUUUUGAUUCUUUGUAUAGUCCUUUUUGUUUCUACUUGGUUGAUUUCAGCUCCGAGUUUGAUUAUUUCCUGCCUUCUACUCCUCCUGGGUGUAUUUGCUUCUUUUUGUCCUAGAGCUUUUAGGUGUGCUGUCAAGCUGCUGAUAUAUGCUCUCUCCUGUUUCUUUCUGCAGGCACUCAGAGCUAUGAGUUUUCCUCUUAGCACAUCUUUCAUUGUGUCCCACAAGUUUGGGUAUGUUGUGCCCACAUUUUCAUUAAAUUCUAAGAAGUCUUUAAUUUCUUUCUUUAUUUCUUUCUUGACCAGAUUAUCAUUGAGUAGAGCAUUAUUCAACUUCCAUGUAUAUGUGGGCAUUCUUUCCUUAUUGUUAUUGAAGACCAGCUUUAGCCCGUGGUGGUCUGAUAGCAUGCAUGGGAUUAUUUCCCUCUUUCUGUAUCUGUUUAGGUCUAUUUUGUGCCCUAUUAUAUGGUCAAUUUUGGAGAAAGUACCAUGAGGUGGUGAGAAGAAGGUAUAUCAUUUUGUUUUAGGAUAGAAUGUUCUAUAAAUACCUGUUAAGACCAUUUGGUUCAUAACUUCUUGGUCUGUCUGUGUUUCUGUUUAAUUUCUGCUUCCAUGAUCUAUCCAUUGAUGAGAGUGUGGUGUUGAAAUCUCCUACUAUUAUUGUGUGAAGUACAAUGCGUGCUUUGAGCUUUAGUAAGGUUUCUUUUAUGUAUGUAAGUGGCCUUGUAUUUGGAGCAUAGAUAUUUACAAUUGAGAGUUCAUCUUGGUGGAUUUUUCCUUUGAUGAAUAUGAAGUGUCCUUCCUUAUCUUUUUUGAUGACUUUGGUUGAAAAUCGAUUUUAUUUGAUAUUAGAAUUGCUAUUCCAACUUGCUUUUUUUUGCUUAGAAAGUUGUUUUCCAGCCUUUCACUCUGAGGUAGUGUCUGUCUUUGUCACUGAGGUGUGUUUCCUGUAGGCAGCAAAAUGCUGGGUCUUCAUUAUGUAUCCAGUUUGUUAAUUUGUGUCUUUUUACUGGGGAAUUGAGUCCAUUGAUGUUGAGCGAUAUUAAGGAAUAGUGAUUGUUGCUUCCUGUUAUCUUUGUAUUUGGAUGUGAGAUUAUGUUUGUGUGCUUUUCUUCUCUUUGUUUUGUUGCAAAAUGAUUAGCUUCUUGCUUUUUCUAGGGUGUAGCUGUAGGCUAGUUUUAGAAUCCAAUAGCUAGUCUGCAUCUUCCCACUUCAAACUUUCAAGGUGGCUUUUAAUCCUAUCUCAUCAUGGUUUAUAGUAAUGGUAACUCAACAGUUGUCAUGUAUUGGGUACCAAGUGUCAGUUUCUAGGUAGUGCCUUAUGCAGAUGAUAAUUCUUAGUCCUUUAGACAAUGCUAGGUUCUCUUGGGAAACAGCCUUUUCUUUCUACCUUUCUUUCUUUCUUUCUUUCUUUCUUUCUUUCUUUCUUUCUUUCUUUCUUUCCUCCCUUCCUUUCUUUCUUUCUUUCCUCCUCCUCCUCCUCCCCCCUUCUUCUGUCUUCUUUCUUAAGACAGGAUCUUAUUAUUUAGCUUUGGCUGUCCUAGAGAUCACUCUGUAGACCAGGAUGGCCUCAGACUCACAGAGAUCCACUUGCCUCAGACUCACAGAGUUCCACUUGUCCCUGCCUCCCUACUGCUAGGACUAAAGACAUGCUACCUCGUGGUUAGCCAGAGUCUGUUUUAAGGCUGAUUCAUUUGCUGUUUGGCUUUGCUCCUUUUGUUUAUUUUAGCAGUUUCUUGAGUUGUGAUUUCCCUAUGAAUGCAUCUUUUAUACUUAAGUAAUGCUGAUGUUUGGUUUUGACCACUGUUUUGCUAGACAUAGGGCUAGCUCUUCACAAAUCAUCAGUUACUUUUACAGAUGAGGAAGCAGAGCUCAGAGAGUGCACAUUUCUGAAGCAUAAGACCCACGUCCUUCUUGAUCUUGUGCUUGUCAGUUGAUCGCUGUGCUACUUUGAGAUGGCUUCCAGGAAUCUGAGGAUCCUAUACUUGGGGAUUUUUUCAGGCUUAUGACUCUUGGGAAAUCUUUCUGGAAUCCCCAUUCUCUUUAUUCCCGUAUAUUUAACUUCAUUUGUCCUUUUAAACAGACCUUAGUUUUCCAGUUAAUCACAGUGUGCUGUCCACUUUGGCCAGUCGCUUCUUCUUCUCUAGCCUUUUAGAAGCAAUAUCAACAGAGUACAGAUUGCAAUCAAACGGGAUAAAGCUAAUGGUAGGAGAGUGGACAGUGAAGUGAAGGGCUGAACCACUUUUCUGAGGAGAAACCAACCCAGGUAUGAUCAACAGCAGAGUAGAGAAGGUGCCCAUGUAGGUGCCUGAAAUGAUGUGCCUGGAGGACUCUUGAGAGGCUCUUAAAGGAAAUACUAGCAGUGGACAGUCAGAGGCACUAGCUAGCACAAGGUGAUUGGCAGACUUUUGUCUCAGGUCUGUCUCCAACCUUCCAUAAUCAGAAGUCUUUUAUCAUUUCUUAUUCUUGAAGAAUAAAAUAAAAAUCAUUUUUGGAGAAUUAAAUUUAUGAGAUUUUGAUCUUAGGGACACCAAUAUCUGGGGAAAGUCAAAUAGUAUAUGAAAUCAAAACCAGGGACCAAGUAAUAUCUAUAUAAAACAUUCUGACAUAUCAGUAUUCUUCUACUGCUUAAGAUGGUCAGCAACUAGGGAUCCACCCAUUCCUAUGUGUGUGCAUAACUGUAAACAAGAGCAUGUGUAUAGGUGGGUAUGUAUGAGUGUGUAUGUUCAUCUGUGUAGAGGCCAGGGGUCAACCUCAGUUGCUGUUCUUCAGGUACUAGGCUUCUUUUUUGUUUGAGGCAAGAUUUUCUACUGAUCUAUAACUUACUAAGUAGGGCAUAUUGACUGAACAAGGAUUCCCAAGGGAUCUGCCUGUUUCCACUGCACCAGGACUAAAAUUAUAGGUGUGCACUGCAAUACCCAUAUUUCUUUACCUGUAUUCAGGAAAUUGGACUCAUGUUCCCAUUCUUAUAAGGCAAACUCUUUACAGAUUGAGGUAUCUUCCCAAUCUGCCCAUUUCUAUUUCUAGCUAUAGAUUGGAAGACCAUUUUUUGAAGAAAUAAUGUAUCUCUAGAGAUCUUCAUCAACCAGAAUGACAUAUUCUUCCACUACCACUAGCAAAACCCAGCAGUUAAAUCCAAGCCUGGACUCAUAUUGCUUCUAAUAAAACAUCUGAUGCUUUAUUCUUUAAAAAGUUUAUCAACAACCCUUUGUAACUAGUUACUUCAUGAAACCCAUUCACAUAAAAGAUUGGAGCACACAAGAGUUCAACCAACCAAUAUAAAAACAAAAACAAUUAUGAAAAAGGACUGUGUUUAAAUGAGUAACUGGGAAAACAGGGGAAGCUUUGAAAAGCAUGUUAUUGAUAGAGUCACAAACACACGGAAAUUUUUUUUCAAUGUAAUAACAAGAUGUUUUCAUAAAGGCAACAACAGGCAAUUAAGAACCUCUAGGGAAAAUGUAUUUUUAUUUUGCUUUCCUCCCUCAAAAAUUUAAAAUCACAUAUAAAAUUUAGGAACUAAUUAGUGAAGAACACAAGUAAAGAUGGUGGACAGAGAAGGUUAGAUGCUCGUUAUAGGCCAUCAGGAGAUUCAGAAAUAGCAGAGUACAACGUGGGCUGAGAGGUAGAUUAGCAAUGAGUACUUACUGCACAAGGUUGAGAACUUGAGUUCAAAUGUGAGCUCUCAUUUAAAUGUAUAAUAUAUAAUGCUAACAUUGUAAGUCUGUGGGGGCUAUAGUAACUGAUGGAUCAGUGGUGCUUGGUGGCCACCAACCUAGCUCCAGGCACAGUUAGAGACCCUGUCUCAAAAGAAUAAGGCAUAUGGUAAUAGAAUAGGACAUCAGACAUCCUCCUCCUUUAGCUUCAUCAUACCCAUGGGUAUUUGCAUGCCCCCACACAAAGAUGCAUAACACACACACACACACACACAAUAUGCAUACACACACUGCAUAUAUACUCAUAAAUGAAAAGAGUAGAUAAUAGAUAAUGAAAAUAAUAAAAUGUCCAAAAGUAAUGUAGGGAUGACUUUUCUAUUCAUAUAUGUGAGAUGGUAUAUGGACAGGCUCCUGGUUUAUUUGCACUGUAUGUAGUAUUUUACAUCAAGGCAUAUAAGUUGUCAACUUCAGGAUAUUUAGAAUACAGGUAAAGGGAGAGAGGAUUUCAGAUGGCUUCAGCCAACAUAACAUUGGAUGGUAAAACAGAGCAACAUAUUCAAAUUUUGAUGAAUAGUAAUCAUCUAUUAAGUACUCAGGUAAUCAAUCAAUAAAGGCUCAUGUACCUUAUUCACUAGAAAUUGUAGGAAGCUUAUGAAAAAGAAGCUUUAUAAAAUGAAAUUUGGCUAGACAUGGUGGCUCACACCUUUAAUCCCAGCAUUAUUGAUUAACUCAACAUUUUAUGCACAAUUAAAUUCAGGGAUGAGGGAUGUUGAUGGUGACUGAGAGCUAAGUCCACUCCAUGUGUAACAGGAAGAAAAAUAAGUAAGGUCUAUAGUUUGUAGAAUGAGAUAUGCUACUGUAAGUAUCCUAUUUGCAAGAUAUAUUAGUGUAAGAAUCCCAUUUGCAAGAUAUACUAGUGUAAGGGUCCUAUUUGCAAGAAAUACUAGUGUAAGGGUCCUAUUUGCAAGAAAUACUAGUGUAAGGGUCCUAUUUGCAAGAUAUACUAGUGUAAGGGUCCUAUUUGCAAGAUAUACUAGUGUAAGGGUCCUAUUUGCAAGAUAUACUAGUGUAAGGGUCCUAUUGGUAAACAGGAAGAUAAUUACAAAGAGAAGGAAAGUAGUUGGAAGUGGUUGACUGAGAGGCUAGAUACCACAAUCGUUUAGCAUAAGACAAUUUACUUUUUAAAAAAAUAACAUUUUUUUAAUUUAGAUAUAACAUUUCAAGUUCAGAUAAAGUGCCACAUUCAGCUUUAAAAUAAUGAUGCUUCCUGGGUAGCUUUGCUUGCUAUCCUUUAUAGAAUAUAAGCAUUUGUGCUGAUUAAUCAUUAUUGCUAGCUUAACCAGCUUUAGAAUCAGCCAGGAGAUGCACCCUGGCAGUGACUUUGAGAAGGUUUAACUGAGGGAACAAGACCCUCUCUGAAGGAGGGUGGCAGCAUCCAGUGGGCUGGAGUCUAGGAAUGAAUAAAAAGAGGAACUGGGAAGGCCAGCUAAAGACUCACAUUCCCACCUUCUGGGCCUCACGAACCACCCAUCUGUGAGCAAGCUCCCACCAUCCUAGCCGUGAGGCUCUCCUGCCGUCAUGAAGGAACAGCAGGGACUUACCAUGCACAGAAUUCACAUUGGGAAGGGCACAGUUGUGUCCAUCAAGAAGAAAUCACAGUUCCCUUCACCCUAAAAGACAUCGGUGAAGCAGCUGACCACAGUAACAAUGAACUUUUAAAAGGAAAAAUACCAAUCAAGAGUUCUGCUACUCAGCCCCUCACCUCUUUUACUUUUCCUGCUCCUAUCUAGCUGCCAUCUAUCUGUCAUUGGUGAAGAAGUGGUUUUCUGUAAUGAUUCACUCAUUCAUGCAACACUCUGACACCUUUUCCUUUGUGGACACAUGGGUUUAAUAAUGGUUAUUAUAAACAGCUGUAUUAGUAUUUCAUAAGUGCUAUCUUCCUUCAGCCUCUAAAUGGCCAGAUUGAUCAAAUCUUUCUUACUAAACAGUUGGUAUGAUCGUAGGUAUCUCUUCAUUAUUCUUUUUUGAUCACUUAUCUAAAUUAUUUCCUAGAAGGUGCUAAAUUGCUUAUUGUAGUGGUUUAAAUAAACAUUGUCCCCAUACUUAAUUUGUGCUCCUUGGUUAUUGUGCUUCUGUUUGGGAAUGUAAUGGAAUUUUUAAGGCUUGGAGGCUUGUUGGAGAAAGUAUGUCAUUGAGAGGCACAUCUUGCAAGUUAUACCUUGUUGCCCUUCCAGUUUGCUCUGUGCUUCCUGUGUGUCAGAAUGUGAUCAUAUAUCCCUCUGCUCUAGUUGCCUGCGGGCCAUGCCUCCCUUGCCAUUGUGUGCUUCCUCUCUGAAACCAUAAACCCAAGUGAAUGUCUCCUUCUACAAGUUGACUUUGGUCAUAUUUUAUUGCAGCAACAAGGCAUCGAUUUUUUUUUUGUUUUUUGAGAUUUUAAAACAGAUAGAGAAAAAAAUCAAAUCUCAAAAGUUAAGGCUAAAAUAACUGUGUGUGUGUGUGUGUGUGUGUAUGUGUGUGUGUGUGUGUGUGUGUGUGUGUGUGUGUGUAUACUCUUGUCUCUUUUUCAUACAGAAGCCCAUCCAUCUGGUUGUUAACCAAAAUUUCUAAAAUCCUUUUGGUCUGGUUACUUGGUUACAUUUCUCAUUACUAUGUCCAAAUACAGGCAAGGCUCACAGGCUGAGAGAGUGUAAGUCCAUCAGGGUAGGGAAGGCUUGGUGCUCGAGCCCGUUCAUCUGUGGCAGCAGGAUCAAGAGACUACCUGCUCUUAUCUUGAACAGCCAGGAAGCAAAGAUGGGACCUGAGCACUUUAUAAACCUCAAGGUCCACUCCUGGGGACCCACUUACUCUACUGAGGCUCUCCUCCUAAAGGAUCCACAGCCUUCUACAACAGCAUCACGAACUGGGGAGCAAAUGUUCAAACACAUGCAUUUAUAGGUGACAUUUCACAUUUUAAUCGUAACACCUGUGCUUUGAGCCUCAUAUGCAUUAUUUACUUCCCUUUAUUGGCUCUUACUCUGCCUUGAGGUACUGUGCAAAACAAGUGUGUUCUCUUCUUCCACAUGACAGACUUUUAAAUAUUUGAGGAUGAUAAUCACAGACAAGUUGACCUUUGAACAGUCUUUCAACUGAAAUAUUUCCUAUUCCUGAUUGUGAGUCCUCCUAUUCAUUCACCUUUGCUGUUUUCUGCCCCAGUUACCCAACAUUCUUCUGCCCUUGCACAUCAUCCACAGUUCUCUAGCCUUCUGGUACUUGAUUCAUGCCUCUGCAUUCUGUUAAAUUAAAGAUUCCAUCAAUUAGAAGGAGCGCUGUUGUUGUCUAUGCCUUACUAAGAAAAGCAGACGGAGCAGCACUGACAAUUCAGUUCUGACAUGAUGUCAACUGUUGAGGCUCACUUCAUUUUCCAAAAUGCUAAAAUGUGAAAGAAAUAAGUGAGUGGUAGGACCAGUGAAAUACAAGAAGGCAGUUGUUUCUUUUUGAGUUAACUUCAGCGUGUCAGGGCAUGUCUUAUAGUGUGACCCCUGGAGCUGGAUAGAUUAUUUUUAUGGAUUUUUACUUUUUCUGAUGGUAGUUGUUGCUGCCUAGAACUCUCAUACUUUAUGAUCUUGAGAGUGAGUGAAUGGGGACUUCCUGGCUGUUCCUGUUCCUGUGUGUGUGUGUGUGUGUGUGUGUGUGUAUGUGUGUGGUCAUGACAAAGUCUUAUCGAUCCAUCCUAAAGAUAACAAUGCAGUUUUGGUCUGAUAAUCACUGAUGAGAGGGAUAAUAGGGUAAUAAUACCUAGCCACUUCAUUACAUAGCAUCAAUUCAGGAAUGGGAAUAAAGAAAUUGCAGACAGAGUACUGGCGAUGGGUUUUAUGUGCAAUCAAAAUAGACCAAGUCUGGAGACCUUUUAACUAUCUGUGCUCACAGACCCAAAUGUCAAUGACAAAGAUCAACAUUGCCAUAGAGUGAUUUAGCAAGUUCAGUGUGAGAGGUGGUAGGAAGAUGUAUAGAUCUAGGAGUUUAAAUAUUCUAACAUUGUUACAUUAGAAUAUCUGUGAAUAGCAUAUAAAUUUGAAGCAUAGUUUAAAGACACAAUGACCCUAGCUUUUUAGUAAGUUCACAAUCAUCUUCAUCCAUUCAAAUUCUGCAAUUUAGGCAGACUGUCUAGUUGGCAUAUCUCAUUGGGAAGAAAACUGAGUAACUUUUGGUAAUGCCUUUGACUUAUACUAUUUAUUCAAGUAAAAAUAAAUGUACGACUUUUUUUUAAAUGUAGGACUUUUAAUAGCAAAAUUCACACUAUAAUACAUUCGAAGUCUUCUUUCUAAAUGUUGGAAAAUAUAAUCAGUUUUGCCAUUCCUAGUAAUUUUGUUCUACAAAAUUCUGAGGGAAAUUAACUUAGCAAAUACUAAAUUAUUGUGCACAUGAGAUACUAUUUGUAAGCUACAAUUCCUAUAAGCUUCUGGGGGCAACUUUUUCACCCACAUGGCAAUCUAUAUUAAGUAAUGGGUGUGUUUGUUUAAAGAUACCUUAUUUAAUAAAUGUUGCUGACUCAUUGACCCUGAGACCUAUAAUUCAUUGAGCACUGCAAUUCCUACCUCAAUGAAACUUCUCUGACAAACAUUUUUUUUUAAUGAUACUUUCUUUUGCUGGCAAAACCAAAAUAGAACUUAAGCACUGCUCUUUGAGGGUCAUUCCACGAAUCAAAAUAUCCAGUCCAAAGCACCAAAGUGUGCACCAUGUGUCACUGAAUGCACUGCAGGAAAGGCUUGUACUCACAGAAUAAGCAGUAUAACAGGAGGGUAAAAUAUUGAUAUGUUAUACAUUGGCUGAUAAUGAGAGGGAUGUUGACUCAAAUGCUGGCUUAAUGGCUUCAAAAACUUUACAAAUACUAGUUUUGAGACAAGAAAUACAUUUUGGCAUGAGGCAAAUGCAGAAAUACAGAAUCUACAAACAAUGAGGCUCUACUGUAUGCUGUAUAGACCCAAGUGCUAACACAUUUCACUGUGCUUCUCUCCUCUCCUCUUAACUACUCCACUGUCUCACAUCUGUAGGAACUUGACAUCAACAUAAUGAGCAUAUGAUGGUACUAUACAUAAUUCUAUAUUAUCAUUUGAAUCGUGUCCAUCAGAAAUACAUAUGAAUAUAUUGCAUGCAUACAUAUUUAUGCAUAUAUUUAUAGUUCUAUAUAUAGUUUAUUUAUUAAUCCAAUGUUCCUAAUGUCUAAAACAUUCCAGGCAAUGCCCUAGACAAUGAUGGCACAUCAAUAACACAAUAAGUCACCUGUGUUCCUGAAUCUUGUCAUGUGGAGACACAGACAGUAGGCAUAGUGUAUGUAUGUAACACAGACCACGAUAAGAAAUGCCUUGAAUUAACUCAGAAGUGGAACAUAGCUUUUCCAAUUUGUGAUCAUUCUCUAUUUUGGGGACUUUACUUUUAAGAAAUGUGGUUAAAUUUUUUUUAAACAAAGCCAGAAGAGUAGAAUAUUAAUGGAAAAUUCAAACCUUAAGCUAGAGAUGUUUUUUAAAUACUAAAUGGAGACAUCAAAUAGAUACAUUAUGAGUCUGAAGAUUAGGGAAGAAGUCAGGUCUGAAGCUGAUUUGGGAGGCAGUAGCUUAUGGAUGAUACUUAGAGUCACGAGAUUAUAUGCAACUGUCCAGAGAGGCCAUGCUCUGAUGCAUGUCAAUGUUGAGAGAGAAAGGGGGAGAGGUGGUGGCACCAAAAGAGACCGAAAGGCAAGAAAAGUGUGGAAAGAAACCCAGCAAGGAUGGUGAAGAAGGCGUCUACUCCAGAAGCACAACAAAAAUUUAUGAUUCUGCCCCCUAGUGCUGCUUCCUUUGCUGCCCCUGGGGGUUUUGAUUGAUUCUCCUUUCUUUUCAAGCUCAUGACUCUUUUUGUUUCCCAAGGUGUUGUUUAAAUAACAGUGGAAGUGUUGGCUUUGCCAGAUGGUAAUUGCUAAAAUGACUUUCCUUACUCUUUAAGUCUUCAGGGCAUCAUUCCAGUAUUCUGUAACCUUCAAGCAUAUGUGUAAAUAGUUCAAUGACUUCAUUAUCUAACUCCCUGAACAGCAAAGCCCGGAAUCACCCAGAAUCCACCUCUCUUUCUCAUAAAAUGAAGCAAUGAGCCAUUUACCCUAAAGGACCUUUACAAGGAGGUCUGGUUACUUCCAGAGUCCUUCAAAUUGUGUACUUUGUUGGUUUUUCAUAAUUUUACUUUUCCUUAGAGAGAAACAUUAAUAUAAAAAAGAAUGAAUUUCGAACUCAAUAAAAAUUUCACUCCUUUUUUAUGCCCAUUUUCCCAGAUAAAGACAAAAUUUUCCAAUUCCAAUUGGUACUUCCAUACCCAUUUAUACCAGCACCAGUCUCUUCUGUCUACCAUUGUCCACAUUUUACCUUUCAUUGAUUUCUUAAUUAAGUUAGUAUCUCACUGACAAAAAUAAUAUGAGUCAGCUCAACAUUAUCAUAGUGUUUCCUCAUGGUCCACAGAUUUUUAAAAAAUAUUGAAAUUGAAUUACAUCAAUUCACUUUCCAUUUCUUCUUUCUAAUCCCUUCCAUGUAAUUUCUCUUGUUCCCCUUCAAAACCAUAGACUCUUUUUCUUUGUUUAUUGUUACACACACACACACACACACACACACACACACACACACACACUCCUAAAUAUGUAAAUACAACCUACUCAUUCUGUUUAAUGUAACUUAUGUUUAUAACUUCAGGACUGACCACUUGGAGCUGGUGACCACUAAUUAGGUGAUCUUCCUAAAGACUAGUUCUCCUUUCUCAUCAGUCUUCAGUUGCCUGCGAUUGUUUAUCUAGGUGUGGGAUCCUGUGAAGCUCUCUUUUCUAUAUUAGCUUGUCAGUUGAUGUUAUACUUCUCCAGGUGUUGUUUAGGAAGCCAUGAUGGUGAGGUAUCUUCGUCAUUUCUAGGAUAUGCAAUCUCAGGUGGCUAUGUAUGUGCCUACUUGGUCAAGGUCCUGGGAUAGGUAGGAGAGCAUGGUAGGGGCAGAAAGGUCUUACAACUGGCAUAUACCUUUGUUUGUUUUAUAACAUGGGUUCUAGAGAUUAAACAUGGUUCUUCUGUUUUUAAGGCAAACACUUUACUCACUGAGCUAUUUCCCAUCUCACUAAUAGGUUUUUUUUUUAAAUUCUUUUUUCAUACAUCCUAGUGUUAAAGUGGUUUAUCAUGUUUUUCAAUUAACAUUUUUAACAUUUUCAUCAAAUGAUAUGAUGAUCAGUUUUGGUGUUUUUAAAUUCAAUGGUAUAUGAGUAUUUUGGGAGUUUCAUAACAAAAUGCAACAGAUAGGGUCUUUAAAACAGAAGACAGAACAGAAGUUUAGCAUAUCACAGAUGUGGAGGCUAGAAGUUCUAAUUCAAGGUAUCAUCUGGCAUAUUUCCUGUAAAAGGGCUUAUGUGAGGGUACUUCCUUUCGUCUCCUAGCUCCUGCUUGCUCUGAGGGUUUUGAGCUUGUACCAACCUGAUUCUGUCCCAAAUUCAUGUUCGUAUAUGAUCUUGCUUCUUCUUUUUGUAGAUGUAAAAGACCCUAUUUACAAAUAUUCUGAUGUUCUGGGUUGUCAAGAAAUUUGGGGGUUAUCAUUCAAUCUUCUACACUUAGUAACACUUGUGUUACUUGUGUACUUACUAACAUUUUAAGUCCUCAAGGAUGCUUAUAACUUGGAUGCUUGAAUAUAUAUAUAUAUAUAUAUAUAUUACAUCAAGUUAUGUAUACAAUGUAGACACACUCCCAAUUAUUUAUAGUUUCAUUUUGAGAAGGGUGACUGGAAAAGGUUAAAGAGUCAUGCAUCCUAAAAUCCUUCAGCCUGUGAUCUGGAAUCUUCAGAAAAUCUCAUAUAUUUUCAAGAACUGAGCUCUGCUAACAUUAAUGGUUGUGUCCAAUGUGGAUUUAUUGGAAAAGCAGAGAGUGGAAGAAGCUUCCGCACACUGGAAGGAAAUUUUGUUCUGGGCGCCACUUCUGUUGGUCUUGUAAGGUUUCUGGCAAUACAUUAGUCAUUCCUACACCUCUUUUGUCCAGUGUGGACUGCUAUGUCUUGUGAUUUCUGUUGGUUGUAGAAUAGAUUUCCGAGGAAUUGAAACCUCUGAAUUCUGAUGUCACUGAGGAGGGAAAUUCCAAACGCACUUACUGUCAAAUAAACACACAAGGGUUACAUUCUGUCAGAUUACUUUUGCGGCAUUUUAUAAUUUUGUAAAUUAGAUGUCAGUCUGGUUAGUUUUAUUGCCAAGUUAACACACAUGGGAAGAGGGAAAUUCAAUAGAAGAAUUCACUUCUUCAGAUUUGCCUGUGAGUGUAUUUGUGAGGACAUCUUGAUUUUUAGGUGAUGCAAGUGAGUCCAGCUCAUACAGAGACCCAUAGCCAAUUGUUAUGUUGAUGGAGGGUCUAAAUUACAGCACUCUAUCCGCUCUCUUCCCUAGCAGCUCAGGGAAUCCCAUGGAAGAGGGUGGAAAGAUUAUACGAUUCAGAGGGUAGAGAAGAUAGCAGGGCAAUAUGACCCAGUAAAUCAACUAAGCAGAGUACUAGGGGCUCACAGAGACUGAAGUGACAUGGACAGGGCCUGCAGGGGUCUGUACCAGGCUGUCUUGCAUAUGUUGUGCCUAUUAGCUUGGUCUUUUUGUAGGAUUCCUAAUUGUGGGAGUGUGUAUGUCUUUGACUUGUCUGCCUACUCUAACUGCUCUUAAGAUUCUUUUCUCCCUGUUGGACUGUCUUGUGAGACUCGGUGUGAGGCCUUUUGCCUUGUUUUACUGUAUGUGCUCUUUUGCCAUAUUUGGUUGUUCUCUCUUGGAGGCCUUGCUAUGUUCUGAAGGGAUGUAGAGGGGGGUGUGUCUGGGGGAAAGGAGAGGUGUGGGGGAGAAUCUGGGAGGAGUGGAGGGAGAGGAAACUGUGGUUGGCUUGUAUUAUCUAAUUAAUUAUCUAAUUAUCUAAAAGAGAGAGUCUAUUCUCUCUCUUUUUUAAAAGCAAAGCACAAAGAAAUGGUGGUGGGGGCAGAAAGGCAGCUCACCUCAUGAGGGUGGUGGCACCCCUGAGCAGGUUGGUCAGACUGAGGUGUGUAAGAAAGGUAGAUAAACAUGGACCUAGGAAGAAGACAGUAACCUGCAGUUCCUGCUUCCGGGUUCCUGUUCUGUUGCCUAUGCCCUGGACUGCUCACUGAAUAAGCCUACCUGCCCUAGGGGUUUGGAGAUGAGGUGGAAAAGAGUCAUUGACAAAGACUCUGGAAGCAGGCGAGAAAUGCUGCAGCAAGCUCUCUGAACAGAGUUCCUUUAACAGCCUCCACUUGCACCCCAUUGGUCCCAAGAAAGCAUGGUUUCUAAACAGCAGUUCCUGAUUGGGUAGUCUGCAGCAAUCCUUGGUCUCUCAGGCAGUCUUCAAUUAGAUCCUCCUUUGCGACUGCACCCCCUCCCCCAACCCCUGGCAUUUACAUAGACACAGCACGGGUUGGGUUCCAGAGAUGAUGGACUAGAACCUGUAAGACAAAGAAACCAUUUCCUCUCCCAAGUUGUUUUUUGGUUAGAGUUUAUCACAGCAACAGAGACAUUAACGAGAACGGGUAUAGUAAGGGAAGCCUUUGGAACAUAAUGAUCCUUACUCUACCUGGCCAGACAGCAAUGUCAGUGUUUAGCACAAUGCCAUGGGACAUAUACUGACUUUCAUUUAUCAUUUCUUAAGAUACAGUUUUAAGCUCUUACUUGAUAUGAUGUGCUGAGCUAUAUGUUUGCAAAAUUACCUAACUAAAGCCAUGCACCUUUCUUCUGGGAGAUUAUACUCUUGAGGCAGAGAAACAAGAACAAAUAAACAACCAUGGAGAGAUAUUGCAGAGAAAUUUUCAAGUGUAAUGGAGUUGGGGCCUGAGAGGUGGCUGAGCUGCUAAGAGUGCACAAUGCUCUUGCAGAGGACCGGAAUUCAGUUCCCAGCAUCCACAGCAGGUGGUUCACUGUUCCCCAGAAGUUGAACUCUAGAGAAAUAAAAAUGUUUCUGGCCUCUGUAGUCACACACAAAUUUACAUACCUCAUAACACACACACACACACACACACACACACAUGCUUAAUAAUAAUAACAAUAACAUCUUUUAAAAAAACAAGCAAACAUGGACUACCAUAGAAACCUUAGACAAGCAGUGCCUUGUUUCCUCUAAAUCUAGUGGUAGCGAGUGUAAGAACAGUCGUGGUACAAAUGUUGACUAAGCAGAGAUCUGUGGAGCUGGUGGACUCAGGGAUGGUUACUCAAUAAACAGGUCCUUGCCAAUGAGGAAGUCAAAGAAUGUUCCUAUGGCCUCCUGUACCUAUGAAGAGAGCAUUUUGAGUUUUCAUUUAAUUGCUGUGUGACUCAAUAGGAGAACACAGUAGCCUUUGUACAGGUAACCAGAAACAUGAAAUCUUCCAGAAUUUACAGGCUCAAAUGACAACCAGUAAAUUGGUGGGUAAAAAUAUGUUAUAAUGAAUUGUUUAGGAUAAAUCUUUCUGAUCAGUCAUCAUUACAUAGUCCACCUAAUGUUAGUUAUUAGUAACGGACUUUUUUCUUAAGUGAGUAAAAGUCUACCUUUUGACAACAUGGCUAGGGAAGCAGGCUAACUGCCAGUCUUUACCUCCCCUCAGCUCCUCAGAAUCUCCUCUCCAAGUCUUAUCCCCAGUUCUGUAGCAAACCAUCUGCUGCACCUCCCUCUCCUUCUUUGCUCCCAUCUUCCCCUCCUAACUUCUCUCCCCCCACUCAUUGCCAUAUCUCAGUCCCCAACUCCAGCAGGCAUUCCCUGCGAACCCACAGACCACUCCAGUCAGGGAAGCAGCUAAAGUAACAUAAUUAAAAAAGAAAAAAACUCCAAACUAGAAGUCAGGGUAUAUUUGAAUCCGCAGAUAGAAGAGAUUUAGUUGAACUUGUUGUUGUAAAAAUAUAAAAAAUAAAAAAUGUAUUGUUGUCUUUUACCUUCACCAUGGUGCUCCAAGAUAUCUUCUAGAUUCUUGGUGGAAACACAUCCCAACUCUGAGGUGGCCCAGACCACCACACUCCAUUACACUUAAAUCUAUACAUUAUAGAACACACAACACAGUAACCUUAGAUUCAAUUGAUAGGAUAUAAUUGCCCACCUAAAUACACAAAGCCCAGUACCAUCCAUCCCUUAAGAACAUUUGUAACAACCUUUAAAGAUACAGUGUGGAAUCUUAAUGUCACCUGCCAUAUUGUCCUGCCAUGGCUUCUCUCUCUCCCCCCUCCUCUCCUCCUUUCCAUUCCAGUCUCCUCUUCUUCCUUCAAACUUCUCUCCCACCCAUCCUUCCUUCUCCUCCAAAGACUGGCCUCCUUCUAUCCUGUAUCUGCCUCUCACCUGUAUUUUACAAAUUCAAUGGUGAGAAGGUUCUGGUGAAGUCACCUGAUUCCUGAUUAUGUGACUAGGCAGCUGUCCUUGGGGCAGUGGAAUUAGCAUCAAAAUACAGAUAACUCCAGGGCAAACCACAACAUGAACUAAGGGCUGGCUGUGAUUUAUUCCCUAGAUUCUGAAGACAGACAUGGAAAGGGACAGAUGUGUGCUGGAGAGAAGGCUGCCUGUGUACUAUCACUGCAUUCCUUUGGAGGACUGUCUGAGCGUUAGCAUAUCUGCUAGUCCCUUCAGUAUCAGAAGUGGUCUGUGAUGAUUCUAUUGGAGGCAGAAGAAAUCAUGGAGUGAAAUGUAAUCUUGCCUCUAUUUUGCACAUGCACCUCUUGGAGGACAAAACAAGAAAACUUACUACUUUAAGAAAUACUACUGAAUAAAAAAAAUGUUUCUUGGGGUUUAAAAAAUCAUUUUGAGGUAAUAUUUAUAUUAUUGAUUUUUAUGCAAAUUGACAUUUUCACUUUAAAAAAGCUUAUGUUUUGGUGACUCUGCAAGUUUAUUGUGAAGAUUCAAAACUGCAUUGUCAGAUAGGAAACAAUGAGGAUUGAAGCUAUUUCUUUUAAGUAGCUUGUGAAUAUAUAUGGGUUUAGAUAACCUUUUUUGUAUUAAUUAAAUAAAGAAAUGUGCAAGACCUGACACUUUGAAAACAAACUGCAUGCUGGCCCUGGGGAGUAUAUGCUUGCUAUCCUGGAACUCAGGAAGCUAAAGCAAGAGCAGUACUGUAAGCUCAAGGUCAGUUUGGUCCAUAUAACAUGGCUGAACUACUCUUGGUCACGUGGAAUAAAAAUAUUAAAAGAAAAAAAAAGGAAAAGGAAAGUAACCCAGUUAUUAAUUAUGUGAAAUAUUUUAAAUGUAGCAAAAACAAAAACAAAUGCUAUAAUAAGUACCUAGAGAUGGUCCAUCUAGCUUUGCCAAGUCUUGUCAUUUUUAACAUACAACACUAGCUGUGUAACAUUUCAGUCCAUAAUAGACUGACUAUACUGACAAUAAAUAUUAAAUUAACUGGACUACAGCAUUUAGAUCUGUUCAAGUGUCUUCUGUGACGUCUGUGCUAUUAUGAAAUGGCCAUACAACUACUUUUCAGAAUGCAGCCUAUUCUUAAGCAACAUGUGACUAUCACUGUUUACAAAGUCAGAGUCUGAAGGAUCUUAGCCUUCUUUUUUAAUGGCUAAUAGUCCUCAGAAUCAUAUUGAUAACAAUACAAUAUCUUUUUUUUAAAUAAAGGAGAUGGUAAACUACAUACAUGUGCCUCUCUUCCUAUUUAUCAGAUGUAAUAUGGCUAAACAAAUGUCUGGUUCUUUUAUUUCAAAUUGUGUUUCUUGAAGAACAGAUAAGCCAUUAUCCUUGGGCCUCUUUUCUGUCUUCUAUUUAUCUUGUUUCCUUCCCCUGUCGCCAAUGAUAAUUGCUAAGUACCAUAAGGAUGUUAUUGUACACUGGGGGUCCAUAUCACAUAACUGCUGACUGUAGUCCAGGUCUUCUCUCUUAAUGCUGAAAAUCUGAUGGUUUUAAUUUUAGUCAAAAUACAGUAUUGCUUGUAUGUAUAUAAUUCACGGGCUGAUCACUUGAUUUUUUUGGAUACCCAGUUAAAGGACUCCUUUCCAGAGAAGAUUAAUUCUGCCUCUCUUCUCAGCCUGCUUCAUUUUUUGUCUUGGUGUGGGGCCUGUUGAGACCUCCCAUUUCCACUUUAGCUUGUUCCUGGGUGAUACCAUUGUUCUGCUCUUGUUUAUGCAGCCAUCUUGUUUCCUGUAAGUUUUAGGAGAUUGUCUGUUUGAUCUUCUGGUUCUUACAAUCUUUCUGCUCUGUCUUCCCAAAUGUUCCCUGAGCUUAGGUUGUGUUAUACAUGUAUCAACUGGAGCUAGGUAUCCAUGAUGAGGUGAUCUCCUCACUAUGACCAGUUUUGGUUUUCUGUAAUGGUUUCUGCUGCUAUGUGAAGCUUCUUUGAGGAUGGAAGAGAACUAUACUUAUAUCUGAAGAUCUGGAGUUGGAUUUUUAUGGACAUUAAUAGAUAGGCCUAGGUGUCCAUGUAAUAGGUAUGCUCUCAGCAUAAAAAUUUGGCAUUAAAAUUAAGUAGCAGUAGUACUAUGUCUAAUUACUAAGAAAUAAAAUCUUACAAAUAGGAACAAAGAACUAGAGACAUGGCUCAGUGGUCCCGACUGCAUAUUGCUCUUGGGAGGAGCCAAGUUCAGAAGCUGUAUCAGGUGUCUCACAGCUACUUGUCUUUCCAGUUCUAUAGGAUCUGGGCAGUGUAUUCUUUUUUUUUUUUAAUUUAUUUUUUUUAUUAACUUAAUUUCCUAAUAUUUUGUUCAGAAUUUUUUUUUAUUAACUUGAGUAUUUCUUAUAUACAUUUCGAGUGUUAUUCCCUUUCCCGGUUUCCAGGCAAACAUCUCCCUCCCCCCUCCCCUUCCUUAUGGGUGUUCCCCUCCCACCCCUCCCCCCAUUGCCGCCCUCCCCCCAACAGUCUAGUUCACUGGGGGUUCAGUCUUAGCAGGACCCAGGGCUUCCCCUUCCACUGGUGAUCUUACUAGGAUAUUCAUUGCUACCUAUGAGGUCAGAGUCCAGGGUCAGUCCAUGUAUAGUCUUUGGGUAGUGGCUUAGUCCCUGGAAGCUCUGGUUGCUUGGCAUUGUUGUACAUAUGGGGUCACGAGCCCCUUCAAGCUCUUCCAGUUCUUUCUCUGAUUCCUUCAACGGGGGUCCUAUUCUCAGUUCAGUGGUUUGCUGCUGGCAUUCGCCUCUGUAUUUGCUGUAUUCUGGCUGUGUCUCUCAGGAGCGAUCUACAUCCGGCUCCUGUCAGUCUGCACUUCUUUGCAUCAUCCAUCUUGUCUAAUUGGGUGGCUGUAUAUAUAUGGGCCACAUGUGGGGCAGGUUCUGAAUGGGUGUUCCUUCAGUCUCUGUUUUAAUCUUUGCCUCUCUAUUCCCUGCCAAGGGUAUUCUUGUUCCCCUUUUAAAGAAGGAGUGAAGCAUUCACAUUUUGAUCAUCCGUCUUGAGUUUCAUUUGUUCUAGGCAUCUAAGGUAAUUCAAGCAUUUGGGCUAAUAGCCACUUAUCAAUGAGUGCAUACCAUGUAUGUCUUUCUGUGAUUGGGUUAGCUCACUCAGGAUGAUAUUUUCCAGUUCCAACCAUUUGCCUACGAAUUUCAUAAAGUCACUGUUUUUGAUAGCUGAGUAAUAUUCCAUUGUGUAGAUGUACCACAUUUUCUGUAUCCAUUCCUCUGUUGAAGGGCAUCUGGGUUCUUUCCAGCUUUUGGCUAUUAUAAAUAAGGCUGCGAUGAACAUAGUGGAGCACGUGUCUUUUUUAUAUGUUGGGGCAUCUUUUGGGUAUAUGCCCAAGAGAGGUAUAGCUGAAUCCUCAGGCAGUUCAAUGUCCAAUUUUCUGAGGAACCUCCAGACUGAUUUCCAGAAUGGUUGUACCAUUCUGCAAUCCCACCAACAAUGGAGGAGUGUUCCUCUUUCUCCGCAUCCUCGCCAGCAUCUGCUGUCACCUGAGUUUUUGAUCUUAGCCAUUCUCACUGGUGUGAGGUGAAAUCUCAGGGUUGUUUUGAUUUGCAUUUCCCUUAUGACUAAAGAUGUUGAACAUUUCUUUAGGUGUUUCUCAGCCAUUCGGCAUUCCUCAGCUGUGAAUUCUUUGUUUAGCUCUGAACCCCAUUUUUUGAUAGGGUUAUUUGUCUCCCUGCAGUCUAACUUCUUGAGUUCUUUGUAUAUUUUGGAUAUAAGGCCUCUAUCUGUUGUAGGACUGGUAAAGAUCUUUUCCCAAUCUGUCGGUUGCCGUUUUGUCCUAACCACAGUGUCCUUUGCCUUACAGAAGUUUUGCAGUUUUAUGAGAUCCCAUUUGUCGAUUCUUGAUCUUAAAGCAUAAGCCAUUGGUGUUUUGUUCAGGAAAUUUUUUCUAGUUGGGCAGUGUAUUCUCAACUCAAUGGGCACCUGUGCACUUGUAGCACAAGGAAACUCAUGCAUGGACAAAAAUAAUCAAUAAAUAAUAAAUAGUUUUAAAAAGAAAAAAUUAAAAAUUCUUUGCCCCUUUCUGUCUGCUAACAAAUCUUGGAUAUGAUUUUUGGUGUUGUAAAGAUAGCAUCUUGGGGCCUAGGAAACCAUGUUUUCUGGAAGGGCAGAAAGAAAUCUAGAUGGAUCCUAGUACCUUGACUAUUAAUAGAUCAACCGUAGAGGUCAAUCUACCUGCAAAAUCUCCUAAUUAGAAAAGUAUAGAGUGUUAUAUUUGUUAUUUUCUUACUAUCUGUGUCUAUUGAUUGAGUCUAAACCUAAUAUGUAGUGUAUAUUAUUAAAAUUUAAAUAAAUCACAUCUUUCUUAGACCAUUUAGUGUUCCUCAUGAAUACAUGUGCUUAGGGCUAACCACUUUGGGUUGAACAACCUAUCACGAUUCUUGUCCUGCAGAAAAUGGAUUCUACUUUUUACAAGAGCCAUUGAUUGCUCCUGGCUCUGUUUUAUUUUUGGAAGGUACUUCUGUAUUUCUAGGCAACAUGAAUAUACUACUAUAGUUUGGGUUUUUUAGUUUUUCCACAUUAUUUCUUCUUGUUCCGAAAUCAGGCUAAUUUUCUGACACUUUCAAAAUAGUUCUCAGCUUUUGUUUAAAUAAGGAAUGCAUUUUUCUGUGUUGUAGUUUGAAUCUUACAUGCUUCUCUAAGGGCCCAUGAGUUAAGGACUUAGUACCUGUCUUAGUACCUUUGGAAGAUGAUGACAUUUGAUGAAGUAGAGCAUAGUGGGAGGUGUCUGGACUAUUUUCUCUGUGGGCAUGGGAGAGCAGCUGUUAGAAUACACAUUUGCCACCAUCAUCAGCCACCUCUGCAUCUACCAAGAGCUCUUCUGCUCUGUCUUUUAGAUUUAUUGCCUUGUUUGAGAAAAAAAUACUAUACAUCUCUCAGGAUGAGAAUUCACUGGACAGUAACUCGUAAAGGUGUCAGUUUGGAAACACUUUGUUCCUUCUCAUUUGGUUUCCCUAAGUAUGAACUUCUAAUCAGUUCUCUGCAUGAUUUCCUAGAACCAAGUGUCAUGUUAUGUUCAUAUAGUUCUGAUGAAUGUGUACCUACAUGGUUUUCCUUUGCCCCUUUCUGUGUUCUAAAGCGUUGUACUGAUAUACCUUGAUGACAGUCUGGGUUCAUUUGUCAGAGUCAAAUGUGUCCCCAGUGGGGCCUUUUAGUCCAUAGACUCUCAAUUCUGGGAACUUAAAAAAAUACUUGUAAAGGGCACUUGCUGCAGAGGCAAACCUGGGUUAUUGUCAGCUCCCUAUGUGGUGGCUGGGCAACAUUGGGCCCAUUUAUUCUCUUCUCUGAGCCUCUCUGUCCUCUACCAAGUGAGAAUUAUAACAAGAUUUACCCCAGUGUAUCUCUGGGGUGAUGAGGAAGGAAGUUCUGGGUAGGGUGUGGCUGCUAAAACAGGAGCACCACUGUAGGCUUUCGGCAGUCAUUGGACCUCUCUGAGCUCAUCCCAAGUCUGUUUAUGAAUGAAGAGUUUCUAGCAGGCUGCCAGUUAUGAGAGUAAAUGGUGGGAUGGGAGGGGCCAGGUCCCCAGAACCCAGCAGCAUGAGACUAUGUAUAUUGUCAAUGUCAGAACAUCUCCCUUCUUCUCUUCCAGUACUGGGGAUGGAACCUAGGGCCUCACACAUACUAGACAAGUACUCUACCACUGACCCACACACCUCACACCCUCCUUCCCCCCUAAAUUUCAUUUUUUGUUUUGCUGUGUUUUUAUUUAUCUUAUAUUGGUAGAAUUCUUAUUUUUAUUCAAAUUUGAAGGAAGUGUUAAUUAAAUACUGACCAGGUGGAAGGACUCUGGCCAGGUCCAUACCCAGGUUCCCAGUAAAUGGUUACUCACACAAGGCCACUGCAUUUCCAGUCAAGUCUAAUCAGGGACAAAUGUAUAUCCUCACAUAUUUUCUGCCUACAUAUGUUCCACUUACAUCCAAUCAGGGGCAAGGGUACAUAGUUCCUGCCCACGUACUUCCUGCCCACAUGUGAUCAAGCACAUCUGGUGCAGAUGGGUCAAACAAACAGAACAAGCAGGAACUUCUUCUUUACUGCAAACAGAGUUCUUAACCUAAAAUGUAUGUUUUCCCUGUUUUGGUUUCCCAUUAACUGGCAGGUGUAUUGUUCUCGUUCCUGUUUUGGUUGUUCUCACUACCCCCACCCCCCUUGAGUUGUAUUCUGAGUCAGAUCCUUGACUUUGUGAUGGGUACCUGUUUAUAUUGGGAUCUAAUAAACCAUCAGCUUAAUGGUAUCCAGGCAAGAAUUAUUAUUUAGUUAAGGCAUCAGUGAUGCAAGAUACAACAGUAAUUAGAGAAGCAGAAAGGCCAAAGGCCUUGUGAUGGGUGACAUCAGAGUUAUUAUGUAUGAGGAGUCUGGAAAUGAGAAUGGGCACUAGUUCCUUUGUUUUAUCUCAGGUCCCUUUUUGCAGUGUUUCUUUAGUACAGUCAGAUUGUCUUUGAUGAUUCCUGAGUGGUUUAUAUAGAAACAACAACUUUCUCUUAAGGCCACACAAUACCUCCUUGUUCUGCAUAAAGCAGGACUGCUCUAUCUUAUUGUUGAACUAUUUUAGUAAAUUAAUAUACCUGUUGGUAGAUCUGGGCCCACUUUCCUGGUAUGCCAAUGUCAGUAGAGGUUACCAUUGUGUCCGCUAUGCCAGGGACUUUCAUUUUGAGCUAGCAUUUCAACCUGUUGGGGGCCAAGGGAUGAUGUAUUCUCUUCUGUAACUACUUCCUGUUGAAAACAGGCCAUUAGAGUCAGGGUCAAGAAGUUUGCAUGCUAGCCGAAGGCUGGGGAGGAUAGAAUUCUUAAUAAUUAGCUAUCUCUUCUCCUGCACAGAUCCUCUGUUUUCUUUUUAAAUUCCUACUUUUAGCUCUUUAAACUUUUGUCUCAGUUUCUUUAGUGUUAUUGUCCAAAUAUGUUGAGUUUUUAAACAUUUAUUCUUCUGGUCUUAUAAUUUUAAUUUUGCUAAUUUCUUCUUUUUUUAUUGUUCUCUUGAAGUAGAAUUUGUCCUUCUUCCUGAAUGCAGUAGCUUUAAUCUUUCUGAGAACUUAUUACUGUUGCUAUUGUUUUUUGUAAGUUUCUAAUGUUUGUGUGGGGACUCAUAUUUCACCGAAUUCAUGUGGAGGUCACAGGACAACACUGAAGUAUUGGUUCUUUCCUCCUACCUUUCUGUGGGGUCUUGUGAUAUAAUUCUGGUUGCUAGAUCUGAGGACUCUGUGAACACCUUUACCUACUGAGCUAUCUAGUUAGCAGUCAUCUUGCCAGCCCUUCUCAGAAAACUGUUAAAGUUCUUUUUGCUUCCUGUAUGUUCCCUGUUUCUUUGUUCCUUUAAAGAUAAAAUGUGUUGAUUUGAUUAUUGUAUUGGAGAUAUUCUUUACAAAACAGCGGAUUCUUUGUGGAUAUUUACACUGAAGAAAAUAAAACAUUUAAAAAUCUAUUGUCACGCCAACCUUGAAUCAGAACUCUUUGAAGGGUGAGUUUCAGUCUUAAUCAAGCAAGUAGCUAUUUCCUUACUGAACUGAAUCUCUAAUUGUCUAAUAGCUAUUUGAUGUUGCUCCAAGCCUAUCUUUUUCUGACAGAGUUCCAAAAUUCCCUAGUCUCCUGCUUGAUCCUCCUGAUAUCCUUCUAAGUGUUGAGUGAACAAAGGAAUCUGGGCCCCCCUUUUGAGCAUUUAUAAUUUGUAUCAUCCUCUAUGAUGUGCUGGGUCUUCUUGAAUCCAGCAUAGCAUCUUCUGAUCCAAGAGUUACUUUUGUGGCCUUGGACAUGAAUGGUAACAGGAGAACACUUUUACAGCUUGGAGACCACAAGGUACCUUAAGAUAUAACUGCUUCUUGGGCAAUUAACCUGUUCUAUCUAUUUCACUCUACCUAUAAUGCAGUCAUAUCUAGAAUGUCUGGUUCCUGAUUUUUAGCUCAUUAAGAGUAGGCUAAAAAAUAAGAAUAGGACUAAGCCUUGAGUUAAUUAGUUAAAGGCUUCAUGCAUAUUAUUUCUGCUAUACUUAAUGAUUUGAUGCUUGCCAUCCUCUUACUUGAGUAUUGGACUCCUACUCUCUCUGCAUCAUCCUGGAUCCCUUUUCUCAUGCACCAAUAAUGUUAUAUAUGCAGUCUGCAAGUUUGCUAUUGCUUGGUUCCAUUUAUGGCCUCAAGCUUAUUAUCUCUGUGUUUUAAGGUCUCUCAAGUUGGAGGCUGGUAAAGUCCGUGAAGGCAGAUAAGGAAUGCAACAGGAAUCCAUUCUUCACGAAUGAGAAAAUACACUAGAACUGUCUACUGCCUCUGAGCAGUGUCUGGUCCUGGCUCUCCAUCAUGGAUGAGGUAACCUUUAUGACAGUCACACUAUGGGAGGCCUAAAAUGCCAAACCUGUUAGAUGGACUUCAGCCCCAAAAAUACACUUUUCCCAUAGCCCCCUUACUCAUUCCUGUCUGUUUUAUUCAUCCUCCAAACAGAGAACAUUUCUUCCUCUUUAUUCCUUGUUGAACCCGUGCAUACAUAAACAUACACACACAAUAUACAUUUAUGUAUAUUUCUCUACUUUUAUUUGUUUGAAACAGAACAAAGUAUAGAUGUAAUAUGCCAUCUUCACAAAAAGUAUAAGUUCAUUAAAAGUAAGAUGGCAACACAAACGAAAGCCAAUACUGCAUAUAACCUACUUCUUUUUACUUGGAACAAAAUGAGUAUGAUUUAAAUGCCUCCAAUUGAAUCAAUUAACCAAUGUAGCCAGCAUGACUGUGUUCCUGUCAUCUACAAUCUGUCAUAAAUAUUAAUUAUUUAUUGUGAAUCAGUGUCACCUCAUCAGGAAACCAUAAUGCUUUCCUCAAGUAGGUUCCAUUUUUGAUGAUGUCUCAAUCAUAAAUGAGCUUGGAUAGACUUGGGUUUUCCUUCUGCCUCAGAUGUUUUCCUCAAGAUUCCAAUUCAAAGAGAAAAAUAUUUGCCCGUCUCUGGGGUUUUUGAGCAAUGCUUGGCUGAGAGGCACAGCUGAAGAGGGUUAGAAGGUCAUUCUCAGUGGGCUAGGUGAAGUGGAAUGGUCUCGGCUGCGUGUGGCUCUUCAGCAGUGGAGCACAGCCAGAACCACAGAAGUUUCCCAGAAAGACAAACAGUGAAAGUUCACCAAACACUUGGACUUCAAUUUGCUUCUUGAAAUGCUGCCUUUCUCUGGCAGGACUUGUCACUCCUUCUCUAAGCCCUCAGCCUCUAAACUGCAUGCCUUUUCUUGCUAAUAAUCUUUUUUCUAACCUCAUCACUUCAGUGCGAUGAAUGUUUAACAGAGUUUAUCUCUUGCUGUUAGGUACAGUGAAUAUAGCAGUGAAUAUGGCAGAGUUCUGGCCUCAAUGAUCUCCUUAUUUCAUGGCAGCAUAGGCAAACAGUCCAACCAAGCUGGAGAUUUAGCAUAGGUGGCAAACCAUGCUUCAUGUUCUGUCUCAGCUCACAUGCUCAGGGCAUUGUUCCCUGUAAGGCCUUAAAUGAGUUACUUUGCUUCUUUCUCCCUCGGCUCACUUAACUAUAAAAAGAAUGUAAUAAUGGAACUCUGUGUGUGUGUGUGUGUGUGUGUGUGUGUGUGUGUACGCACGUGUGCAUGCUUGUGUAUAUUUAAUAAUAAUCUAUUGUGGUUAAAUAUAUUUUAAAAUACAUUAAUAUAUAAUUUAAAUAUAUCAUAUUAAACAUAUUUAUACACAUCAUUUAUAUAUGUACAUACACAUAUAUAAUAUUUAGAAGUAUGGAUCUUUAAAUAUACAUAUAAACAUUCAUAUAAUCUGUGUAGCCAGGCAGAAACCUCAGUGGAGCGAUUGGGACACCAACCCACCCACAGUACCUUACAUGCAAAAUUUAUCCUGUCUGCAAGAAAACAGGGAUAAGGGAUGGAGCAGAGACUGAGGGAAGUGCCAAGCAAUAAAAUCCCCAACUAAAAAACAAUCCCAUGGGCAAGCACCAAUCCCUGACACCAUUCAUGAUACUCUGCUGUCCUUGCAGAGAGGAGUCUACCAUAGCUGACCUCUGAGAGGCUCCACUCAGCAGCUGACUCAAACGAAUGGAGAGACCUACAGCCAAACUGAGUGGAGCUCAGGAGUCUAGCUGGCAGCCCAAAGAUGUGACUGAGAACUGGCCGUGUAAGAACAGCAGAGCUUCCUGGGGGAAACAGGCCUCUUUUUUUCCUGAGGGGGGGAAAAAAGAUAUGCUAGAGCUCCAAUGUUCUGGCAAAUUCAAGGAAACCAGCUAUCAGUUGUUUGGGGGAAAACAACAACAGCAGCAGCAGCAGCAACAAACCUGUCUGUAGUAAAUUACAUGUGGGGACAAAGCCCACUAACUCCCAAGGCUGCCGCCCUCCCUGCGCCCCACCCUGCUGCCAUCCUAAGGUAAUGUCAGAGACCUGUAGUUCAAGCUUGACUCCUAAGAGCUGUGUCCACUUAGGUAAGUCUCAUGGCUUUCUGUCUGUGUUUCAUGACAUUAUUUGUAACAUUACAUUAAAUCUGCUCCUUCAUCCUGAUAUGAGAAAUAAACAUACUUUUGUCAGCUUUGUGAAGUUUUUUUUAUUGUCUUUCACUAUUCAAUUUUAUGUUACAAACAUCUCAGUACUAUGUAGGUGUGUGUGCAUAGCACUUGGGCACACACGCGCGCGCGCGCGCGCGCACACACACACACACACACACACACACACACACACACACACACACAAUGCACGUGAAAGCGGAUGAAACCUGAGUAAGUAUUGCAGUUACAAUUGACUAUACUGGGGAAAGCAGCAACAAGAUGGACAGAGACAUAAAAUGUAGAUGCGUACAAGUGAGGAUUGAUGCAGAGAGCACCAUAAUAGUCCAUUGGAAGGCUAGAGUGCAGCUGGUGCUGGUAGCCCGGCUUCAUGCCAAUGCAAAGACCUCGCAACCAGGCAAGCCACUGCUGCUGUUCUGUCGGUGGCCAAAGGUCUUAUGACUCAGAGACCUCAAGCACUGGAGUCCAAAGACUAGAGAGCAGGAGAGGUAGUGCCCAAAGACAAGAAGAGUGUCAGGGGACAGGCAGGCAGACAGGCAGACAGACAGACAGACAGACAGACAGACAGACACACACACACACACACACACACACACACACACACACACACACACACACAGACGAGAGAGAGAGAGAGUUCGUUCUCUCAUCUCCAGCCAAUUGCAUAGUGCACAGAUACCCACGGACACCAAAGGCAGAUCCCUGCCCUCCUAUUUCUACCAACUCUCAUCCCAAUCUUGUCUACAAACACUCCCUCAAAUGCCCCUACAAAUACACUUCACUAGCUGUCUAGCUAGCUCUUAAUCCAGGCAAGUUGCUAGCUACAAUUCGCUACCAUACAAAUAAUGGCAGGCCCUGGUUCUGUGGAUGUACUGUGAGUAGGAUUCACCCGCCGGGGAAGUUGGGUGAAGACUGCCGAGGUCCUCUGCCUUGUUGGUAAUAUCUUCUCUGUCUGGUUAGUUCGAAUACGCAUUAGACAAGGGUAUCUGCUGGUUCCUUCCUCCUGUAUCUUCUAAAUACUUCUCCUGGGAAGUGUAACCCACAACCAUUGGAUCUAUUGCUCUUAAGGCUUUGUUACUUGUUUAGGGCAGUUACCCUCUGCCCACGCAUGUUUCUUGGGCUCGGUGCCGAGCUGGUGUUUACAAAUGUUUCUUGAUUCUUUCUGCUGAAAAUAUCAAAACAAGCAGAUUUCUUUUCUUAGCCAUUCUAGUACCAUCUGUGAACAAACUUCACAUUUUAAAAAUUCUACUUUAUGCCAGAGAUUUUCAUAUACAAUUCUCUUAGUGAAGCCUCAGCAUGAUUUGAUGAGGGACAAGCCAAAAUGUCUCACUUUUGCUUUGAGAAACACAAGCAGUGGAAAGUUUGAUCCAUGUGCUUGGGAUAUGAAGGUCAUGGAGAGCUGGAAUUUAAGCUAGGACUUAGAGCAUUUAAAUUUAUUAAUUUAUUAAUUAUCAACUUCUGUUUGUCAGGAGCUGUUCUCAGAGCUUUUCAGUGGUGGAAUAAAUGCAGGUUAUGAAAAAAAUAAGGCCUACAUCACCACCAAGAUAAUAAUAAAUAAUAAAGUAGCAAAUUGGAUGCAGGAAACAGGAUUCAUAGAGAUCACUGAGUUUGUCCAGGGUUCAAAGAAGGAGUAGAGAAAUAGAAUCUUUGGAGAAAAGAAUACUUUGAGAACAGGGCCAUUGGGGGAAAGGGUUCUAUAGCUGACAUGACACCAGAUGAAUGUAAGUAGCUGGCUCAGGCAGUUGGUAUGGCUGGAACAGUAAGCACCUUUAGCAAGGUGGGUCACAGAGGCCCACAGAGGAUAUUGCAAGAACCCUGUGAUGAAUCUGACUUUCCCUGAGUGAUUCCAGAACAUCGCAGCAGGGUUUUUGAGCAAACGGAUGGUAUGAGCUGACUCAUGCUGCUACUGGUUCUCUGGCUGCUUAGAGUAGACAAGGCUGAAGUGGUGUAAAGGUCAAAAACAGACAGAUCAAUUGAAAGUCAGCAGCAGUUCUCCAGGAAGAAGAGGCUGGCUGUCUGGACAUUGGAGUGAUAGCAUGGGUGCUACAUAUUCUGUGAGUUCUCAUCUGCACCUACCUGUCCCUGAGGCCCGUGAUCAUAUAUACUUAGAGUGUUAUAGACUCUCUGAUGUUUGGUUUCUCAUGUGCAAUGGCCUUUUCUUUCUCACUCUGCCCAACUGGUCCGUAAUCUAAUGCUCUCUCCAGAUGCUCUCAUAUCCACCCCACACUUCUCUGCAAACUUCCUACCUCCUGCUCCUUCUAUGGCCUUCUUUGUAUCCAAACCUUAGCAAACCUACGACUCUCUCUUACCUGCCUGUCCAGGCUAGUGUGGUGACAUUCCUAGAUGUAUUUUUCCCUAAUACACUUUAGGAUAUAAGACCAAAGGUCAGAAUGUACCAGCUAAUGUAUGAGUUUGGAAUGGAGUCUCCCUCCAACCCACUGCAAAGACAAGAGUGAAAUAAAGUGACACCCAGUGUCCUUGUCUACUAACUGGUCUGAACUAAUGAUUGUGUCAAGGAGUUGCCAUAUUGUUGGCAUACAUAUUGCAUGUAGCAAAACUACAUGCAAGAGUUUGUGCUCCAACGAGAGAAGGCGAUAGAGAGUGGGAUGGUAAGGAAAUGCGUUCAGUGCAUUCUUCCAUGCCAAGCUCCCUCUUCGCCUCCGGUAUGUUGUGGAAUCCUUGUGUGGGGACUGGCAUUUCUGUUUCACAGAUGAAGAAAAAGACUAUUAAUAGACUAUCCUGUCUGUCCCCCACCCAAGCCCCAAAGAUGAAGAAUGUGUGACCCCUGGAGAAGACAACAGAUUCCUUGUUUUAAAACAACAAGUAUAAAACAAUAGAAAGAAACCUGCUUUUCUUUUUUUUUUUUUCAGGCCUAGACAUGAGUGAGUCAAUGAGUCAAACAGCAAUGUCUCUAGAGUGUCCGUCGGUGCCAGCCCGUAAGAUGGAUGCAUCCCAGAUGGGCUUUCCCACAGCCUGUGCUGGGAGCUUCCCCUUGGCCCACAUAGGGAAGGGGUGUGUGAAUGCUUUCCCAUGACAUGCAAGUACAGCUAAGCACGUGACUUGGGGCUGGGAAGAGGUUUACAGCAAGCAACCUGGCAAUGGAAUGGCCCAGUCCAGCCAGCAAUGGCAAGCUAGGACAAAAGCCCCAUCCCAGGAUGAAGCAGCCAGUUUUCUUUGUAUGUGGUUAGAUAGUCUUUGGGCUCCUAAGGAGGCGUAGGAUGUAUGAGCUGCUGGCUCGUAACUGGGUGCAAGACUGCAUUAAUCAAGUGCCUUAUUCCUAUCUGCAAGGAUAAGGUAGAAGACCAUUAGUGGCUGGCUUGCACCCCAGUUACACUUUAUACACUAUCAGUGAUCUUACCCUGACAGAAUGUAUGUUCUUUUGACAGAAUGUGGAAAGGGGCCAGAGAAAUUGACUAUUUACAGCUAAGUCCACUUUGUAUCAUGUAUCUAAUAUAAGAACUUUCUACAAGAUAGUAUAGGGGAGACCACAUUGGUUAAUUUUAUGUACAACUUUGAUGAGACUGUAGAGAUGAAUUAUAUGGGCAAAUAGACAGAUAAUUCAAUAAACAUUUUUGCAAAAAAUAUAUAAUAUAUGCACAUAUAUAUCUAUAUACAUAUUUAUAUAUAUCUACACAUAAACAUACACAUUUACAUAUCAUUCAUAAACAUACACAUAUACAUAUCAUUCAUAUACAUAAUACACACAUAUGCACAUGCAAUGGUCAGUUUAUUUAAAAUGUAGCAGAUGUAAUGUGCUAUGUAAUGUUAUGCAAGAGCCUUGGCUAAUCAGCUGAAGCUCUUAACAGCAAUGGCUAAGGUUUUGUGUGAGAGAAUUCUACCUUCAAGCAGUAACAUAGAAAUCCUGCCUGAGUUUCCUCAGACUGAAGCUACAGUAUCAUCUCCUACCUGAGUCUCCAGCCUGUCUGCUGGCCAUAGAUAUUGAACUCAACAGCUACCACACUGGUAAGAGCCAGUUGCUUAAAAUCCCCCCUGCUCACUCUCCAUAUGUAUAUGUAUGUAUAGAUGUAUAGAUUUGUAAAUAUAUAUACAUGGAUGUCCCCACUUGAACCAAAGAGAUAGUCUGGAGACUGUGAACGCUUUCUCUCAGGGCUCCCCAUACGCACAAUACUGAAGUCAUCCUUGGAGACAAGUGUAAAGUAUGGAGUCAGGAAGGCUGAGAUUAGAGAAGGAGGCCACGCUUUGCACUGAGGAGCUGCACCUCUGGGGCUGGGCUCCAGAGAACGAUUGAGUUUGCAUCUGUGCUUCCGGUUCCUCCAUCUAGAUUCCCAGCUGAGGUGACAGACUGCCUGAUGUGUUGUGUCGUUUUUUUUGAAACACAGUAUGAGUAAUCCUGUAGAAACAAUUAACCCACUAUCCCACAGCUCACACAUUGGUCCAGCCUCCAAUACACACCUAGACCACAUCUACCAGCACAUGUCCUGAUUGAUGCCAGGGGAAGGCACAUGGAUGCACACACUGGACAUCUGUAGUCAGGGUAGAAUUCUACCUACAAGAACUGUAAUGGGAAAUCCUAAACCUUUCUCUGGACAGCUUCAGCCUUGAAAUUGUACCUGUGCAUUCCGACCUUUUCCCUCAGUCAUAUGAUCUGCACCUUUGUGGCUGGCCACGGUUUCCAUCCUUAGCUAUAUGCUGUCCUACUCCUUCCUGGAUUUCAGGGCCUUGGGAUUUAGCACCUUGGAUGAUUUUUUUUCCUCCUCCCAUUUCAGCCCAGUUUUGUAUCUAUCAGAGGAAACAAAUGCUUAUUCAUCGCCCAUCCAAACUUAAACAAUCUAAUCAUGACUUUAUUCCUCCAAGGAUUCCUUCUUCAGGAUUCCUCAACCUCAGUCAUCUUGAGGUCUGUCUCUAUUCUGGAAGCUCACACACACUUGUGGGAUACAAGCAUCUUGACAGAUCACACCUGCAAUCCUCAACGCCUACUGUUACAACUGCUCCUCACCCUGUUCGAGGACCUAGCCAUAUGCCAUGAUGCCUACCAAAACCUGAAGGUUAUAGCACAAACCAAACACUUUCUUCUUUUAUUUUAUUUUAGAAUAUGAUUUCCCAUCUCCCCUUUGUUAAAGAGAUUGAGAUUAAUAUGCAAAUGAAAACCAAAAUAGUAAAGUAGGUAUCAUGACCGGUCAGAUGUCGUGCCCAGGGACUGAGUUCCAGCGGCAGCUGUUUUUGCUUUAUGUUUUAUAUAAUUAAUAGCCUCUCAGCUCUGCACUGGGUCAUGAUUAGGACACACUUCCUGGUAGAGAGGUGUGGAGCAUGAGUGUUGAGUGCCUAAGAGGGGUCAGCAGGUGCUGUGGGUGGAGCAGACUCUUUUGGGCACAGGGAAUAUCAAAUGUAAUGGACAUUCAGUUGUGGUAUAAAAAUCAGGGUAUUGGUCCAGCUUGUUGCCUAUGAUGGAGAGAAUGGUAUCGGAAGGUUAAGCUAGAUGUUUCCCAUCCUGUAGUAUUUCCAAUACCUACAAAUAGGUACCCAGAACACCACCACUUCCUCAAACAACAGACUUCCUUUCUGGUUGAAGCAUCUAGGUUCCCAGGCAGCUGGGUCAUAUAUGCUGGAAAAGCUCCAAACUACUUCCUCUUUUGACUGGCCUCAAAUAAUAAGCCAGCUCCUGGAAAUUUGCAUUGCAAAAUCCUACCGAUUGUCAUACUUCCUCUCUGCAAACACAUACAUGUGAGGAACAAAUGACCAAUGACAGGUAGUGUGCUUCAUGGUAGUUGAUUUGAUUCUCUUCUGGCCUGUUUCCUGUGUCCACUUUUAUUUUAUUUUACUAAUUUUAAAUUACCCUUUAAAAGAUUAUAUUUGACUCAUGUUUUAAAAUGUCCUGUAGACAAGAGAUCCUGGGCUUGAUUUCUAGAUAUCCCCAGGAGACAUUCCUCUACAAGUGAAAGUAGUUUUUAUAUAGAGUAUUAUAGAGGCUAUAAUAGGGUGUGGUAAUGCAAUAUACUGAGGUCUCAUGCACUAGGUGAUUUUUUUCUGCCUUUGGCUACGAGUGUUACAUCAGCCUAAAUAAUUUGUUUUUUUGUUUGUUUGUUUUUUAAUUUGGAAAAGGAAAGAAAAUUCACCAAUAUUGUUUGUGAUAUGGCUACAGAAUCCCCUGUUGUCUGAGGGUUCCAGAAAGCUGUGUGUCCAACAUACAAUAUCCUUUGUUUCUAAGCAUCUGUAGCCAUCCUUCAAGUGGGCUGUUAGCGAAGCAAUCAUGUUCCACACUCUUAUGCAGCCUGGGAAUUGAAGGACAAUUUGGCCUCUUUGUCAUUUUCAAAAAUCAAAUAUGCCCAGGGACCGAGUUCCAGCGGCAGCUGUUUUUGCUUUAUGUUUUAUUUAAAAACAUUUAAUUUUGAGUCUCUUAUGUUUCCAGUGAUUUUUCUCCCUCUUGGUAGAGCAAUCUCUACACAUAUAUAAAGUAUCCUCCAUUUAUACAAAGUGGUCCUUCAUUAAUUCCUAGGUUUUUAACUUUUCAUCUUGCUUUUGACAGUAUUUGAUACAUUAAAAUGAUCAGUAAUUGCUAUAAUAAUUUCUAUUGAAAAAUAAUAACAACUAUACAAUAUAUAGCAAGUUAUCAUUUUGUGGCAAGCUUUCAUUACAUGGUUUAUAUAUAUUUUAUCACUGACUUUACUAAAUUUUUAUGAAGCAGACAUGAACCUAAUAUCUCUUUCUAGAUAGAGUCUCAGAGAGGGGACUCACUCAGUAAGCGACCUGUCCAAAGGGUUAUGACCAACGAACUUAGAAGCUCAAGUUUUAACCAGGUAUGUUUGACUCCUCAUAAUAUAGACUGAAUGCCAUAUGCAGUAUUUUACAAGUAUAGGUGCUCCCUAAUGUUUUUGAUGUUUUGACUGCUGUUCAUCAAAAUGAGGUCAGGUUGUGUCAUUGAGGAAGGAAAUUCUGAUCAUUGAAUUUUCUUGUUAAAAUGAAGAUUAACUGGUGUGACUAACUAAGGCCUUAAUUGCCUACUCUCGGUAUUAUACAUACACAGAUGGCCUUCAUAUUAUGAUAGAGCCUGGUACACAUCCAGUAUGGUGAACCACCCAUUUUGAUUACUCCCAGGCUUCCAGUUGUUCCACUAUGGAAUAACUAUUCUCUACUUUCUGCCUGAGAUUCAGUAAUUUGCAUGAGCUAUUCACAAUGCUUUUUUAUUUAAAAGAUAGGCUUUGUGUUAGAUGAUAUUUUUGAAGAUUGUUCUAAGAGUUCUAAUUGUGAUUAAAGGAGUCUAACCUUACCUCUAAUGUUGGGAAGAUUAAGGGUAUUUAAUGUAUUUUUAUGUGUGGCAUGUCAGGCAAUUGCUCCUUACUCAUCUGUAUCUCUAGGCCCUAAAAUAAAUUUUUGAUUGUAUUUUGAACUUAGGAUGCAUUUAUACAAGCAUAAACCCUUCAUACAUCAGGGAACAACUAUGUUUUUUUUUAUGUAAACUUCCUAGCUACAAGACAUCACUGUUACUGUGUGUGUGUGUGUGUGUGUGUGUGUGUGUGUGUGUGUGUGUGUGUGUGUGUGCGCGCGCGCGCGCGCGCGCGCGCGCGCAUGUGCGCUGAGCACAGAUCCUGGUGCCAGAUGACCUGGGUGUCUUGCUCCCUUUACUGACCACAUUUCCUUGGGCAAGUCUCCAAGCUUCUCUGAGUCUCAGUUUCCUCCACUCGGUGAGUUGAUUCUAAAGGGUUGGAGGCCUAAUUGUCUGCAAAGGCAACUACGGGGAUUAAAGUAGGAAGCAGGAGUUAGUAGCAGUUUGUAGGACAUGUGCUGUGUUCUCUAGGCUCCGGGUCCUCUUGGUCACUAUUUCCUUUUCAGGAAAGUAAAUAAAACAAGAAUCACUGGGGAGUCAGUCUCAGGUAAACAGUAGCUAGAAUGAUCAUCUGGAGCAACAAAGCCCCAAGAACAUUGGCGGGAGGAUUGGGGGAGGGGUAGGCCUUUGGUGACUCACACCUUGACAUCGUCUUCAUAGCUCUACCACUGCCUCUGCCUAUUCUGAAGCUGCUGUUACUCACUCGUGUUACUAUCCCAACUCUCCACUUUUACUAUUGCUACCCCAUACGUUUUGGAUCUCCUAUCUAUGAGCUUUGCCUGUAUUCUUACUGACUUCCUUUGCAGGCUCCACUCUCAGAAUAUCACUUUUUGCAGAUGAUAUGAUAGUAUAUUUAAGUGAUCCCAAAAGUUCCACCAGAGAACUACUAAAGCUGAUAAACAACUUCAGCAAAGUGGCUGGGUAUAAAAUUAACUCAAAUAAAUCAGUAGCCUUCCUCUACACAAAAGAGAAACAAGCUGAGAAAGAAAAUAGGGAAACGACACCCUUCAUAAUAGACCCAAAUAAUAUAAAGUACCUCGGUGUGACUUUAACCAAGCAAGUAAAAGAUCUGUACAAUAAGAACUUCAAGACACUGAAGAAAGAAAUUGCAGAAGACCUCAGAAGAUGGAAAGAUCUCCCAUGCUCAUGGAUUGGCAGGAUUAAUAUAGUAAAAAUGGCCAUUUUACGAUGUAGAUUGGUGGUGGUGGGAUGACAAUGUGUAAUGUUUAAUUUCCUCAGAAAUUUCGGUGGAGAUGUGGAAGUCUACAGCUUGUAACAAACCAUCUACCAAAUACGUUUUGCUUAACUCUCAUCUUACGAAUGUUUUUGGCAUUCUAAUAAACUGGCAGUGGGAAGGGUGUGAACUAAGUUGAAGUAUAAAUAAAUACAAUCUAGGAAAUGGUUGAUACACAAGGGAGGCGUAGGAAAUGUGAAAUUGGAUUUCAGAGACAGGAAAUGUCAAGUCCAGUAGGGAGCCAAUAGGGAUUUAUGGCAUAAAUAACAUGAAUUGAAUUAAGUCUACAAGGAAGACCAGAUUUGGAGAUGUAGAAAUAAAGGAAGGUGUCCAAGAAGCAAAGAACAUAAGUGUGGAAGAAUUCAGGAAUACAACAGAAUUAGUGACUUCUUCAUUUUAUUAGAGCAAAAGGGAUGUGAACACAGAUGAAGAGUGACCAAAGGAACUAAUAUGUCAAAUAAGACAGGCAUACCAUGCUGAAAAUAUAAGUGAAAUAUAAAUUAUAAGGCUUGAUUUAUAUCGUUACAUGGAUCUGUUGGAAUAGAAUAUUACACACUCACUGGGAUGAGAUUUUUGCUGAAUCAGUGAAACGGGUUCUUGACUUUGUCCCUUCCUGCAAACAGAUGAUGACACUAGUAGUAUUGAUUUUUUUGUUUAUUUUUGCAUUGAGUACUGCCCCACAAUGAAACAGAAUAAGAAUAAGGCUGGAAAGACUCUGGAUGGAUUCCCCAUUUCCUUAAGGAAUGACCUGGGGGAAGUCAUUUUCUUUGUCACCACUCUUGGGUCAAUCCUCAUGUCUGUAAUCUUGUGGGGUAGAUAGUUAUUUGAUGGCUGAUUUCCCAGGUUUUCCGAGUCUAUAAUCACAUACACUUGACCUCUUCAGCUUCAUUUCUGAUGAAAUCAUUCAUUAUUUGAGUACUGGCAAAGAGAAAGGCAUUUUAUGCUGUUGGUGUGGAUAAUCUUCCUUCCGAGGAAGCCUCAGCUGGAAGCAGUGCUUACAGUCAUGUGCUAGAAGGGAUGAGAAUUCUGGUUAAUUGAAUUUUCUUGUUAGAGAUGAAGAUUAAUUAGCAUAUGACCUAUUUAAACCCUUGCUGUUAGCAACACAUGUCAGGUAUGUAGAACAUUUUUCGUGUAAGAAAUCUAAUUCCUAAAUUAGGAAAAUAAGAUCUAAAUGCCAUAUGUGUAUAAACCUCUGUGAUAUUGUCAUUCGGCACUGUGAUGCUAAUAACAGCUGUUACUGUUAUUUAUUGACUGAUAGAUACUUUCCCAAAAGUUUUUACGUGUAUCAUUCUUCUUAAGAUUGACAAAAACCAUAAAAGCUAAGCAGGAUAUCGCUACCUAUAAUGUCUUUGUUAACUCUCCAGAAUGGAUGUUGAUUCCUAAUUCUUGAGAACAUGGGGAUGCAUACUUACUUAGAUAAAAGAGUCUUCGAAAGUGUAGUUAAGUUAAAGACCUUGAGAUAAGCAAAUUAUGCUAGAUUACUGAAGUGAUGCAAUAGCCAAUGAAAACCAACCUUCUAAAAGACAGAGUAGAGGAGGGUGCACCAUGAUCACAACAGAGAGUGGAGUGGUGCAGCCACAGAGCUGGAAUGCCCAGAGCCACUGAAAGCUGGAAGCAAUGAGGAACACAGGGCCUGCUCCAGGGUUUAGAGGGGACAAUGGUCCUCCUAUUGUCUCAAUAUAAGAGUCUGGUUUCAAGAAGUGUGACAGCAUACGUUUUUCUGCUCUUUAAAAACAAACUAGUUUGCGGUAUCUUGCUACAGUCCCGCAAGCAACUAAUACAUAUUCCUUUACACAUGUAAGAAUAAGGUAGAGAAGAGUCAAUUAACUUGCCUCUGUCAGAAGGCAAAACCAGUAACCCAGACACUCUUAGAAUUUUUUUAAACUUUGUAGAAUACUACACACUGUCUCUGCCUCCAAAGAAAUACAUUCAUGAAGCCUAGCUUAUGGGUAAGAAUCACAAAUAGUGUUCUAGAAGAGUUGGUGAUACUGUUCUGAGGUUUAAUGAUGAUGAUGACGACAACGAUGAUGAUGAUGACGAUGGUGAAGUAUUUUUCUAGAGACUAAAGUGAGAUAAACUUUCUAAGCAGAGCAAGCCACCAUAGAGGGGAAAAAUAAAACAAGGAGCCUUUAGAGUAUUGAAGAUGGUGGCAUGGAUCUGAAAGUGUAUGGGAGGAAAUGGAAGGUGAGGCAGGACACAUAGGUGGUAGAACAUUUGUGCCAGAGAAGAGAUAAUGAAUGUUGCGACCCUGUCUGAUCAUAUAGAUCUCUUAAAGGUUUGCUGUGGAAAGCACUAUGGAGACUAGUUAGAGUGGAUUAAGGCUAGAGGCAGACUCCCUGGAAUCAUGGCUGUGAUACACAAAGCAGACUCAGCCCUGCCUAUGCACAGGAGAAGGCAGUUUUAUGAGACACUUUAGGGAGGUAGCCUGAGUGAGUGAGACACAAUACAUUGUGAGAGAAUGAACUGGGUGUCUGAUCCACCUCUGUACUGCAGACAGGAUAUCCAUUCACAUUUUCCUAAGUGAGGCAGCCAUGUUAAGAUAAUUUGAUAGCUGGAUGUCUUGGGAUCAAUAUCUUAUAACCUCUAACCUCAGAUUCUAGCUUCUUAUUGCUGCUUCCUGGACAGACAGACAGAAUGCUAUCUCUUUGCAUCUGACCUUCUCCGUUUACUAGCCAUCUGACCUUUGCAAAUUUGCUUAACCACUCUGUACCUUGAUUUCAGCAACUGUCAAAGAGGUAUGAAAAUUACAGUGUCUGCUCUCAUUAUCUUGGACAAACACUUGUGAGUGAAAUUUCUGGAAGAGGCUUAGAAAAUAUGAGUAAUUAUUUUUAUGACAAGCCCCAGAUUUUCCCCUGCAAUUGUGUUUAUAGAACUAGUCCCUGAGUUCAUUCAGAAAGUUUUCCUGUUCUUUGCUGAUUUUCCCUAACAAAUGCCUAUAACAUGAGUUCAGUAGUAAGUGUAGACUCAAAAGUCUAGUGUUAUUUACAUUUGUCUAGCUAGGGAGGGAGAAUGGAUCAUGUGGGGGGGGGGGAAGAGUAGAGAGGGUUGGGCAAGAAAGAACAGUAAGAAGAGGGGAUAAGAUAGAACCAUGGGGAAAGCAUACAUGUAAAUACUGCAAUAGAAGCAUUAAUCUGUGUAACUUAUAUGGUUGGAUAACUUUGCUUAAAAGCUCAUAUUUCUACCUGCUAUGUUUUCUUGUGUAUGGUUUCAUGUAGGCCAGACUGGACAUGAAUGUCUUCUAGAUCCUCCUGCCUUAACUUCUCAAUGCUGGGAUUUUAGAUCUAUGUCACCCUAUGCAGGACAAAGAAUAAGCAAGCAAGCAAGUAAGUAAGUAAGUAAGUAAAUAAAUAUUUCUAUCUAAAUAACUUUAACCACUCAUCAAAUAUGCAUUUCUAUGUUAUACCAAAAAAAAAAAAAAAAAACCCAAAACCAAAAACAACAACAGUAACAAAAACUUACUCCAUUGGCAAUGGCAUUUUAUUGUCCUUGUGACCUCCAGACAGAAGGUGUUUGGAGAUAGACACAUGUUACCCUAAACUUAGAUCUGCUGUUAGAAGAAGCUUGUGACCUCCUCAGAUUCCUGAGCUAGGUUUUGGUUCGUGUUACAGUUCCGUACCUAGGUGUGGCUCCUCUUGCAAACCCUGGAAUCUAGCACAGUAGUAUCUUCAGUGAGGAAAACACAGAUAUUUCUCAUCUUAUAGAACUACAUCCCCUUCGCCCCUGGCAAACAACAACAACAACAACAACAACAACAACAACAACAACAACAACAACAAAACAACCAACAAAAAAAAAGCAAAACAAACAAACCUGAGGAUAGGAAGAGAACAAGAAACAAGCACAAGUCAAAAAUCAUCAGCACUUCAGGUAGAAUGGGGCAUAGAUAUAUAUGUAAUACAAAAUGAUGCCAUCUUGGAUCUGUCUCUUUAAAAACAACGUACGAAGUUGUGGCAAAGCAAAAAUGAAGAAAUGGUGAGCAGACAGUUGUGUAACUAACAAAACAGAUAUCUUCUCUCAGAGGGGAGUUACUAUCUAUAUUACACAACUCUGCCGAAGUCUCUACAAGGGUGAUAGAAUUAGUCGGGUCUAGUGGGAGGAAGACUGUCCUGGGACCUAGGUUACACUCUUUCUCUGUCUUAAGCUCUUAAGCUAAUUGGCACUGAAUUUUAUUACAAACAAGUGUAAGAGCCCUGGGAAACCUUCCAUGUGUGGGAGUGGGGUAGAAGAGGGAGAAGGGGGCAGGGGAACCUUCAGCCAAGCUCAACACAAAAGACAUCGAGCUUCAGAGUAGAUCAGCACAAUAUUUUAAAAGAUUCUAACUGGAUUUCUUUUCUUGAUUUUUCCAGAUUUGAACUGCCUACUGAGGCCACUCCUCCUGCUAGAGUUAAGGCCUAAGGGUACAGCCACUAUUAGUGGUUCACAAUUAUUUGAUUACUUAGCAAAGAGAGACGGUUUCAGGAGCGAAUGGGAGCUGUGCACACAAGAGCCGCAUGCGCACAUCCCUUCUUUCUUAUCUUACCAGUCUUGCCCAGUGGAGUCCCAUCCUGUCCACUCUUUGCUAUUGAGGACUUGGAUUCCACAACAUUCUUCCCCUGACAACUCUGGUGGCUCUGAACCAUAAAAGACCAUUUUCUCUGAUACAGCACAGUGCUUUACGGAUCACCAGCCUACUCCAGCCAGUUGAAUUUGAAUCUCACAUAGUCGUGUUUCCAGGCCAUUUGCUUCCUUUAAUGUCCUUCUCAUUUCUUUCUCCUUCUGCCUCCCCAUUACUAACUCAGCUCAGACUUUCAUUUCUUCUCACUUGGAUGAUCAGAUAUUUUCAUAAGUUUCUUCUAGUGAUCCAAUUUUCUUCAGAGGAAUCAUUCCAAAGGCACAAAGCCCUGACCACGGUAACACCCCAUUUACACGAGAAAGGUACAGUGGGGAGGCAGAGCUGACUGAGAUGGAAAUACACUCCAUGUUGGAGGCCACUUUCGGAAAAGCAGACCUUGUCCAAAAGGUCUGACAAGAAGUAUUUUGGCAAGCUCAAAACCGACUGGCAAAUAUAUCAGUACAUGUGCUAAUAGGACAUAACAGUGGGAAGCUUCCAGAACUGAACUGAGAUGCAUCUUUGUGUAGUACAUGACAGUUAAUAUUGAGACCAACAACUGGUGAAAAUACCACAAAGUUGCUGGGAAGUGGUCAGACAUAAAUGGGACAUCUAUAUCAUAUCCUCUCCCCAAAGACUCAAGUAACAACAUCAUGGAAGAGGGAUCAAAAAGAAUGUAAGAGCCAGAUGUUGAGGAGGACUGGAGACAGUGUCUUCUACACCUGGCAGAACUAUUAUUGUAUUCAUGAACUCACGGAAGAUGUUGUUACCUGCAAAAGACCAAGCAAGUCAACAUUCCAGCAAGAUGGGUGAUGGAGAUGCUCAUAUGAGUUCCUUCCCUAGCUAAGGAAGAUAUUGACAAUCACUUAAUGGCUGAUAAGGGAGAGAGAAGAAAGUUUCUUUACAGUGUGGAUGUAACAGUCUAGACAGCAGAGCUUACCACUUGCUUCAAUGUGAACUGAGCACUCAUUAGUUUUCAAGGCAACACAAGGUGGAAACAGCCACAAAUGGACUCACAAGCCUCCAGGUGGUGAAAGGAAUCCAUUUCAAAGUAUUAACGUUCCAAAAGACCCAAAUUUUGUCUGCAGCAGAUGUCUCUCCAUAAUGCUAAGCACUGUGGACUGAAGAAUAAAGCUGUCAUCUUCUAUUUUAUGUGAGGGGAUUGCAUCAUUUAGAGAUGAAAGCAGGCUGCCUAUGGCUGGGCAGGUAAGUUAAUAUCUUGCAUCUUGUGAUUCAUUUUUACCUUGUGGAAGGAGCAGACAUGGUAAUUGUGUCCAUAGACAGAGAUUUAGAACAGAGUCUGCCUUUGCAGAAAAUGCUCUUCAGGAAACCAAUAAAGAUAAGAGGGAGGCGAAAUGCAGAGGAGGAAGUGUUAGGGUAAGACUUAGUUCACUGGUGUUAAUCAUAUACUAGGUAGGCAUUUUCUCUCUAUGCCUGUAACAGGUGCAGUUUAGAAAAGAGGGAUAACCUCUGUCUGGAUCGCCUUCAGGAUUGUCUGGUUUAAACUCUAAUUAAGGAGAAACUCCCUCUGGAGCACCUUAACAGGGUCUGAGUCUCCAUCUGAAGCUGUUCGGUGACACUCCAGUUUUGAACAACUCUGACAUGAAACCCUGCAUUGCUAAUUCUGUGUGUUCCAGGACAGAAACAAAGCAGGCUUGGCUGUGCCUGACUAGUCUAGCUACUUAGUAGUGCUGGCCAGAGUGUGGGCUGAGGAAUGCCAAGGCUGAGUGUAGGUUUUAAAAGGAAAAGGAAAACCAGCAGAGUGUAGUAUGCUUCUGUAAUCCCACCACAGAGGCUGAAGCAGGGGGAAUGUCCUGAAUCUGAGGCCAACAUACCGAAUUCCAAGCCAGUCAAAAAUAUAUAAUGAGACUCCAUUUCACGAGAGAGACAGAGGGGGCCGAAACUAAUUCUUGAUACCUGAAUGUCUGUCAUGGACUCAGGCAAGGAGAAUGGGAAGGGGUCAUCUAGAAACAAAAUGUUCUAUAUUUCUCAUUCCUGGGCUACAUCCUUCAGUUAAUUAAUCCAGAAUUUACAGUCUACUUUAUGCCAUUCAUUAAUUCAUUAUUCUAGGUGCUAGCUAUAUUAACUCUGUGGUCUUUUCCUAGUCCUCAUAAUGUCUGUACGUUGGACACAAUUGUCUACUGUUUUGGUGUGUGUUCCUUUUCCAUACCUGAAGUGCCUACUCCCAUUUGGGCCCUUGACUUCCCCAAAGCAUGUUCUCUUAUGUGCCCACCUUAUAGGCUCUUGCCCAUUACUUUCCCUUCUGAUUUCUGUGUAUCUUUGGAUGUCAGAGUUUCUCUGGUUUGGUCUUAUAUCUUCUUUUCUUCUCUCUUGCUCUUGCUUUGGUGAGCACAUCAAGCUUCCUGUCUUCAACAGCCAAUGGUAGACAUGCUUUAUGUCUCUAGCUGCAAAAUAAAUCAUAUAUACCAUUGGCCACCUCUUACUUUCACUUUGAGAGCUAAAAAGUUUCUCAAACACCAACUAUUCAAAGGACCUUGAUCCCCACAUACCUCUACCACACCCAUCACUGGGUUUUCCAGCUCAGAAUAUGCAUUAUUGUGUAUGCCAACCAGACAAGAUUUCUUUCCUCUCCUUAGUUAAGUCGCGAGCUAUUCAUACUCAGUUCUCUCUCCAAACAUUAAUGUACUCCUUGUGCACCAGGCUGCUCAUGUCUUAGGCCAGUGACCUUCUUACUCUAUCAGUUGUCUCGAGCACUUCUCUCGAAAUAGGUCCAUGGUGCACCCAUUCUGAGUCCACUUUGGUGGUUUCAGGAGCUCAGCUGGGAAGUGGCUAGGGGAAAUGUUUACCAGGAGCAUCUGUUUACCUAAGGGUCCAAGUGACCCAUCCCUUAUGAUUGUGGGCCUGAGACCAGAAACCAUAAUCACACAGCAGGAUAUCAGCGCAGAGAAGCACUGGCCAUAAUAAUACAGUGUGAUACAGCAUGGGGGUGGUACUUUAGAACUGCCACACCCACCCACACCCAGCCAACCCUGCAGCAUUCUAGCAAGGCUGCAUUCCUGACCUCAGACAUAAUUCUAGUUAUGGCGCUUUCAACUCUGGCUGAAUGAAGUAACUGCACUCUUCUUCCUAACUAACUUAGUCUCUCCCAGAUGGGAGGUGUCUGCUCUCUCUGCACCAAGCAGGUUCUUAGGGUGGCUUAGGUGGCUCACCUGUCUGUCUCCAGUAGUUAUUGGGGAGCCAUGUUCCUCCAAGUAUAAUAUGAAAUAUCUUAUCAGAUUCUCUUAACAUGUUAGGAAAAUUACCUAUUAGGUUUGCUACAGACCAAGUGAGUCAUAAUAGUUACAUUAUUAGCAUGUGCCCUGGUUGAGGAGUUGAUUGUCUGAAGAUUUCAUUGUGCUGGAAGAAUGAAGGAUUUAGUCUGGAGAGAGGAAGUGUCUCUGGUAGUGCUUCCUACUAGAGUUAUUUCUCGUGCAACAUUUAUUCUUCAGCAGGACCCCUGAAAGUGAAAUACUGUAUGUCACGAGUCUCUAAAGCACAUAUCUACUUCUUAACUAAUGAUGAGUGAAUACAGCACACGGGAGUGGUGAUAUUUUUCAAAGGUUUAUUCAUGUACAUGUGUGUGUGUCCACAUGAAGGUGUGCAUGUCUGUGUGUACAUGAACAUGAAAAGAAGGCACCAACUCCCUCAGAACUGGAGUAACAGGUGUUUGCUGGUCCUCAUGACUGUACAGCAGAAGUGCGCUUACCCACUGAACCAUCCUCUCAGUCCCAGGAGUUACGUCCUUAACCUGCCCUGCAUCUCAUGAAUGAGAGCUCAAGGAACAAUGUGGAUGAUGGCCUGGACAGAGUAGAUGGUCACCAAGCACAAUUUUCUUCUAUGUCCCUUGGCUCUGCUAUUAGUGUAUGGAUAGGUGAUGCAGAAGACAGAUGCUUAGAUGGCUAGCUGAGGUCCCCUGGCGAUGAGCACUCCGGUAUGCAAAAAUCACUCAGAACUGGUGGUUUUCAACCUUCCUAAUGCUUCGGCCCUUUAAUACAGUUCCUCAUGUUAUGAUGAUCCCCAACCAUAAGAUUAUGUGGUUGCUACUGCACAAUCAUAAUUUUGUUACUGCCAUGAAUCAUAAUGUAAAUAUCUGAUAUGCAAGAUACUUUCUAUUCCACCCCCAAAGGGGUCAUGGCCCACAGGUUGAGAACCAUGAACACAAAGGAGCCCAGAACUGAACAGUUAAGAUACUAUUGUGUAAGUAGAGGCUCAAUGAGUCCCUCUGGACCCUCUCCUACCAUCACUGUAAGAAGUAAAUGGAGUCACGAGAAUUUCAUUAUCCCUGUUUGUUCCAGUGAGAUGCUCAGAGCUCAGACUGUGGUCCCUAAAUGGGUAGUAUCAACCUUAAACAAAGAAAUAUUAGAGCCUCAGUUUCUCAGCCCUCCCACAGACAUUGGGAACCAGAACCUUAAGUUCACAUCAUGUCUGAGCGCCAGCAACUGUAAGCAACUUUCAGUUCUGUAAAUACUUUUUUUUCUUCUGCAGAUUCCAUUGGAAAAAUGAAAUCUGCCCACCUUCUCUGUUUUGGAGCUAGGAUAAACUUGACCAUGAACAGGUGCUGAAUGGAUAGUAGUAUGAAGACCUUAACCUGUAUGGUCUUAUAUCCCACCCACCACUUGGAACUCUUCAGCCAUCACUUUCUGCUGUGAUAGCAAGGGGGGUUAAGUGGUGACUGCAGCUGCCGCACACUCAGCUGCUGCCAGCCACAGAUGCAGGCAUUUAGCAUGUGAUUAAGGACAGGGUAAUCUACUUAAUGUGGGUUGUGGGAGAUAUUUGGCAAGAACCAAGGUAUUCAAGGGUUGGAUUUUUAGCUUCCAAAGAUAAUGUCUUUCCCAAUUAUUUAAAGCCCUCAGUAACUUGGAUCACACCCAGAUAGAAAUAAGCCUCUUUAAGACAGACUUCGGUAAAUAGGAUGCUUGCUUGCUUUCUUUUUCCAGUAGAAUCUUGAUUCUGACAUGCUAUUAUGUCACAUGGCAUGAGGGUAUUUGCAAGCCGGUGUCUUAGUGCGCUCAAGGCAACUCAGCUUAAUACCUGGAAAGGAGCAAGGCCUUCUUUUGUUUUGUUUAGUGGCGUUUACUACUGGCUAACUUAAUUAAAAAAUUAAUCUAUUCAAUCAUUCAACAAAAUACUGCAGUGCCUGGCUUGAGGUUACCAUAGUGAAUAUGAGAGCAGUUGCUGUUUCUACUUGGUAAUUGCCAGGUGGUAAGGCUGGAAUGAGAAUGAAGCAAUUACAGAGAGAGCUGAGGAGAUGCAGACAGAGGUGGGCGAGGAAGGCAGGCAACCCUAGGCAAGGAAGGGCAGAGGUACGCUAAGCUACAUCCCACGGGAAGUGACCUAUAGACUGAUACUUGAAGGGCAAGGAGGAGGUAAACAAUUGAGGUGGGAGGGAGGAAGUGAAACCCAGACAAAGAAUAGCUCAAAAACAGGAGUCUGAGUUAUGGCAGAGGGAGUGGUGAAGCAGUUAAGGAUUAGGAGAGCUGAGGAGAUAUGUGUGGGGUGUCAGUGGAUAUGUGUAUUGGUCUGGGGGUGGGGGUGAUAGGAGAUGAGAUCGAGGAAAUCAGGCAACUGACAUUGGACUUGACUGAGUAUUGUGAAAGCUUCUAAGCACUUCCAUUUCCCCUCCCCACGUCCAACUGGGGAAGUCUGGAGAGCUCAGGUGUUAAUGGGUUCUCAUAAUCUGUCUUCUGGACUGGGUAGCAGGCCCCCUCAUCAGCACAGUCAUUCAUAAGACAAAAUCAGUUCAGGUCUCUGUCCUUCACAUGGCCCUCGAGCUGCUGCUCUGAGCUGAAUACCUCUUUCAGGCUUUGAAACCAACAGUGCAAACUGUGAGAGCAUCUUCAAUGUAGCCUUCCGAACUCCAUCAAAGACCAAUCUCAAUCCCUGCUGAUUCUGCAUCUGUGCAUCCAGACAAACUGCAGUCAAUACUCAGAAAAAAAUGGCAUCUUGCUCCAAAGUACAGCUAUUCUUCUUGUUAUUGUUUUAUAAACUGUACAAUAUGCACCAUGGCUUGGACUCUGCCAAUGACUGCACAUCCCUGUGGCCUUCUCCUUGGCUCCCUUGAAACAAAUGAGGCCAUCCGCUGAGCACUGGGUACAAAUGGCUUCUGCUGGGCUUCCUGUGGGGGACCUGCUGCAGCUCACCUCCUCUCUGGGUGGUUACUCUCCUAUAUGUUUCUGUGUGCGCCACAUACACAUAUCUGCCUCCGUUACUGAACUUAGAGCUCUGCACUGCCACUAGUAAAGGUGUUAGAUAGGUCACAUGUUGUUGUGGGUGACACGGGAUAGGUUGGAAGUGCUGGCCUGAAUGCAGCCCUUUCCUGUGCUUCAAGCAUGACGACUGGGGUGAGUCAUUUGUUCAAGCAUGACUGGGGUGAGUCAUUUGAAUUACAGCUUUAGUUUUCCCAGCUGUGAAAAGAGACGGCAGCGCACCUGCGCUGUCAUUUCAAACAUGGUGCAGAGGUCAACGUGGCUCCUGAGAUAGUGAUCUCUGAAGUUACAUGGAAUGGUGGACUUUAGCAAGCACUGUGGACCAGGAUGGGGUGAUCACUGGCACUCUGAACGAGGAGAGGGUCAUUACUGGCCUCUGCACCCAUUUCUGAUAGAAUUAGAGGGAGGAGUCAGGGCCCAUGUGCCUCUCACCUUCUAGAACUAAUCUGCAGCUUGCAAAUAAGGUUUCAUUUCAUGACUGCUUCUACAUACAGUCACUUAAUGGGUGGCUCAAUUAGAGACCAUUUGGCCAAAUGUAAAUGUCAUUUGGAUCUAUAAUUGUGGGGACAGAAUGAUUUCUAAUAGUUUUUGAUGGCACACUCUACUUUGAAACAUUUUUGGGGGGGUCUGGUAGACCUAUGUGAGGCAAACACACCCAAUUUGUCCCCUCUUGUAUGUAAUUAUCAGUUGGAGCUUCUUGCUGGCCUUUUUCGAAAUGUUAAUGGAAUGACAUUAAAUUCUGGUUCAUUUCAGAGCUCCUGCAUUCUGCAAAAAAGCUUCUCCAAGAAACUUUUAAAACAGAUCUAUAGAUAGAGUAAAAAAAAAUCAUUUCUUACCUUCAUGUAGUGGUCCACACUGCCACGAUCUUACAGAGGGCUCAAGGCCCGAGGGAGAAGGAUUAGGAACUUGCACAAUGUCAGUAACCUUAGCUCCAUUAAGAGGUAUCUCGUCUUUCCUCGUGUUGACUGCAUAUGCUGUCACUGCACUGCAUUAAGAUGUACAGGUUACACUCAGUCAUUUUCAAGAUAGUUGGGAGGAUCCUUCAGAAAAGAGGAAGCUGCCCAGCCCUUGUCCUGCUUGAGCCUUCCAGGGUUUCCUCACUACCAUAAGCAGAUGCCAGUCUGCUUUCUUUAGGUUCUAGAACAUACAUCUUUCUUUCUGUUUUUCUUUUUCUGUCUGCUUUCUCAGCUCUCUUAUCUAAGAAAUGGGCCUUAGUAGACUAUGACUUCUUAAUAACUUAGCAAGUCUUGUUCACCUUGAAACAUCUAUGAAAUAAAUCCCUAUCUCUACCUGAUGGCUGCCAGGGUCAGGUAGUGACAGUCACUCCUGGCUUCACUUAUAUGGUCUUCCUUUGCUCACAGCAGUAAAGUCUUUAAGGGGUCAAUCAGAUUGGUCUCCUCCUGACAGAUGCUCUUGUCCUCAGUCCUGCCCAGAUUCCUUGAGGCUGCAAACCUUUGAUAACCUCAAACAGGAUCCAUCCUCCCAUCACAGACCAAGUUUCAGUUACCAGUGAGCCACUGUGUUUCUCUAGAUGCUUCCAUUAUUCCCUCAUGAUGACAGCAUUUGAGAUGCCUUUUGUGUGCUAGGUGCUUUGUAGUUACUCUGUCUGGAUCAAUAUAGCUCCCACAGACUAGGUCAUAGGUAAUGUUAGAUGACACUCCCCCUUCCCCCACCUCUGACACAUACACACCCUUUGCAGUUGGCAAAACUGAGAUCUGGAAAGAAUAGAAACUUGCUGUAGGCCAGAGAGUUACAGGCAAUGAGUGACGAUACAGCCUGUGACUCCUGAGCCUGAGAUUUUUGUCUGCCAUAUUGUAUGGAAACAGAUGUAUAAAUGAACGUCAUUCUCCCUGGUAGAUCUCGUGUCUAGCUGAGAAGAUGUGGCAGGACAGCCGAGAAGUUAUCUGGUUACACUGCUGUUAGAGGCAAGGGGAGAAAUCAGGGAAGGGUUCAACAGGAGUGAGUGUAGAAUUUCCAACAAGGAAGAUUUUUCUAAUAGUGGAGACAUGAGGCUAGAAAAAUACUAUGCAGUUGCAAAGAAAUGGACAGAUCCACAGUGUACAGAACCACAUCUUGCCUAAUACUGUUGGUCCGUGGAUCUGUGGACCUCAAAGGACUUUUAGAGAAGUCUUCUACAUGGCUAUAUGCCUAUGUGUGGCACUUAAACUUCUGUAGGCUGGAAUCAAGAGCCUAGCACCCUUGGUGGAAUGGCCCUAGGUAAUUUGCUGAACUUUCCCAGGUAAUUGCAACAGGAGAUUGGCUUAUUUGACUCAUCCUACAGAAAUCCUUGAGCAACAGGAUAGCAGGGUACCUACCACAGUACCCUGUGGUACUUUGGGUAACACUGGUCAGAUCUUACUCAUCAACUUCUUGGUGAGACACCCAAGUGAGGUUGCCAGUAAUCACUGCUUCUACAUGGCGGAAGCAGGGGGCAUAUUACAGACUUCACUUAAAAGCAUAAGAAAGAGACAGACCAAGAUACGCUGGGAGCAUCUUAGCCAAAGCCGAGAUGAGACUUUACAUAAAAGCUCUCCCAGGGCCGUUUCAUCUGCCUUGGAAUCCUGCACACCAGGAAAUCAAAUUGCUGAAACAAGCCACAUCCUCAAUAAGCCAUAGCCACAGAGAAAUAAAAUGAAAACUUUCUAUAUGAGGAUUUAAAGGGUACCAGGAGAAAUACAAAGGAAACACAGAGGAUGACUUCACCAAAUCCAAAGUCAGUCUGAGAAAGGACAUGCCUUGUGUAAGGUCCAUCUAUCCAUUUGUGCAUUCACUCACCUAUCCACAUUUCACAAGUCCCUACUCUCUUCUUGUC